CCGCCUCUACGACUUCCUCCGCCGCGACGGCCACCUUGGAAAUUGGGACGGUGAGACAUAGAAGAGAAGGUUGAGAUCCGAACGUGAACGCUCUUGAAAGGAUUUCUGUAACUUCCAAUUAACGCAGCAGAAAUGAGAAAUGGCUUGCUGAAUUGAAAGAGUUUAUAAAUGCUACAUGAAUGGAAAAGGGGUUUGGGAAGUAGACGGUGCGAGUGAGACAUUUAUAACGCUCACACUGCAACGCACUACCAUUUAUGUUACCUAUUUAUUUUUUAACUUAAUAAAAUGAAAAUAAGUAAUUACUUAUUCAACCCAAGUCAUCUACGUAGUCAAAAGGUUAUUAAAGUAAUUUUACCCUUUUAUGUUUUCUAAACCUAGCUCUUUCAAACAGAUUAUACAUAACACAAGUUUUAUCGUUUUAAUGUUUGGCCCCAUUCUAAUGAGAUUUUGAAUAUAAUGUCUUUCGAAAUAGUAAUUUUUUAAAGAAUGUAUGGUUAAAAAAAAAAAUUAAUUUACGUUUAAUAUUAUUUUAUUGGAGAAUAUAUUAUUAAAAAGAAGAGAGAUUAAAUGAAUUAAAAUUCUGAUGGGGCCAAACAAGUGCUUAAUUUCAUCUUCUUUGUGCGAGUGUAAAUUUUCAUUCAAGCUUCGAUAAAAAUCUUGAGGUACCUUCUUAAAGUUUAAGUGGGAAUAAUAUAGCAUUUUCAAGAGACUCUUUAAACAUUAAUCAUUUUCUAUUUUAAAGAGUUAAUUCUUAAAAUCAUAUUUCAAAAUACUCUUUAAAUUGAUAUUUUAAUUUAGAGAGUGGGUUUUCAAUUAAAUAGAUUCAAAGAAUUUCAAUUUCUUAUGUAGGAAAAUAAUUUAAUAAUCUAGAGAAAAAUUAAUUAAAAUAAAAGAUGGAGAAAAAUAAUAUUUGUUGAAAUAUUUCAAAAUUUUUACUCUCCAAAUUAUAGAACGUGAUCUUAAAAAAUAAAGCGUCUAGCAUUAUCAUCUAUGAAUACACUAAUAUAAUUUAUAAAUUGGAAAAUUAACACAAAUGGUCUCUAACGUGUGGUCAUUGUGGACAAAUGGUUCCUAACAUUUCAUUCUUGACGCUGACUUCCCUUAACUUAUUGAUUUUGUGUACAAAAAGUUAUUUACCUUUUGGGAUGAUUUCAUUCAUUGUUGCUGUUAAAGUAUAUCAAUUUUAAUAAAAAGACAUGCAUACCCUUUAUCCAUUGACACACUUGAAGGAUGAUACGUCCAAAAUUUCUUAAUCUAAAUAUUUAUUUGAAUGGUUUCGUUUCUUUGCCACAAAUAAUUCAAAAUUGUUAAUAAAAUCAAAUUGUUCUUAAGCAAAUAAUAUCAUUUAAUUAUAAUGUGGUAUUCCUCUUUCUCGAUAUGUUUUAUCUUGCACCAUUGGAUAACUACUUUAUUUAGCGAAUUUACAUUUUUUCCUAAAUUAUACAGAUUUGUAAUGAUAUUUUUAUUAACGCUGGGGACAGAAAACAAAUUUUAACAACUUUCUUAAGAGCAUUAAAAAUCACAAGGUAGAAUCAAAUUUAAAUUUCGAUCAGUAUAAAAUGUAAAAAAUAAAAAUAAAUUGCUAAAAUCUUAUAAUGUCGAGGCCAAAGCCUAGAUCAAGUGGUAAAACUAUAAGAGUGAGUUUAACUCGAUCGUUGGCCUGAAAACAAGAAUCUUAGAGAAGGAUGAGAGUGAAUUUAAUUAAAAAAAAAAGUUAAAUAACUGCCAAAAUAAAUUAAAAUAAAUAUCUACUUUAAGUACAUAAUUUUCUGUUUUUAAUAGUGUACAAGUACCAAGUAUGGACGGAGCAUUUUCAUCAUGUUGGUCUAAAGAUAGUCCUCUUCUCUUCUUGUUUUUAUAAUGUUAUUUUUGUUUAAUUUAGUACUAAUUCUUUUUAAAUAUGAUUAUAAUUAAACGUACAAGUAGCAAUAAAAAUGAGUGAAUUGUCAUGGUUGAAAAUGGCAUAAGAUUAAAAGUGGGACAAUGGUACCAACUGUGUGUAUCUUUAGUAUAUGUCGUUUUAAUUAUGACUGUAAAGAAAACAUAAGAAUUAAAAAAAAAAAAUUGCACAAAUCAUCAUUUAAGCAUCUUUUUAUUAAAACAAAUAUACUUUAACAGCAAGAAUUGAUGAAAACAAUUCAAAAGGAAUUUUUUAACACAAAAACAAUAAGUUGAGGGGUCAACGCUAAGAAUAGAAGUUUAGUGACCAUUUGCGCAAAAGAGUCAUACAUUAGGGACCAUUUGUACUAACUUCCCUUAUAACUCCAUACGAGCUCUUUAAGUGCAUGGCGACUUUACCAGUAUGUACACAUCAAUGAUACAUGUAAGGGAAAUUGGCACAAAACGUCCCUAUCUUUAAGGUUUAUUGUGGAAAACGUCUCAACAUUUCAUUUUUUGAUAUUUUUGCCCUUAUUUCUAUCUAUCUUUGCGAAAAACGUUAUUUUCACCAUUUUUUAAUGUGAAAUGGUCAAAAUACCCUCCCAACCCAAAAAUAAAGAAAAUAAAAAAUAAAUUACAAUCUUACUCCUAAAUGUUUAAAAAAGUGCAAGUAAGUCUAAAUAAUUAUUAAAAGGCUUAAUAGCACAAAACGUUCCUACGUUUGGUCUAUAGUGUGAAAAACAUCCCUACNNNNNNNNNNNNNNNNNNNNNNNNNNNNNNNNNNNNNNNNNNNNNNNNNNNNNNNNNNNNNNNNNNNNNNNNNNNNNNNNNNNNNNNNNNNNNNNNNNNNNNNNNNNNNNNNNNNNNNNNNNNNNNNNNNNNNNNNNNNNNNNNNNNNNNNNNNNNNNNNNNNNNNNNNNNNNNNNNNNNNNNNNNNNNNNNNNNNNNNNNNNNNNNNNNNNNNNNNNNNNNNNNNNNNNNNNNNNNNNNNNNNNNNNNNNNNNNNNNNNNNNNNNNNNNNNNNNNNNNNNNNNNNNNNNNNNNNNNNNNNNNNNNNNNNNNNNNNNNNNNNNNNNNNNNNNNNNNNNNNNNNNNNNNNNNNNNNNNNNNNNNNNNNNNNNNNNNNNNNNNNNNNNNNNNNNNNNNNNNNNNNNNNNNNNNNNNNNNNNNNNNNNNNNNNNNNNNNNNAUUUGCACUUUUUAAAAUAUUUAGGAGUAAGAUUGUAAUUUAUUCUUUAUUUUUCUUUUCUUUUUUUGGGUUUUAUUUAAAUGGGAGGGUAUUUUAGUCAUUUUACAUUAAAAUGGUGAAAAGGACAUUUUUCGCAAAGAAAUGUGGAAAUAAGGGCAAAAAUGCCAAAAAAAUGAAAGGUGGAGACGUUUUCCACAAUAAACUUUAAAGGUAGGGGCGUUUUGUGCCAAUUACUCAUACAUGUAGUUAUUUUGCAAAGAAUAAAUGAAACAAAAGUGUGUGAUUUUUACUUAAACAUUAAAAAAACAACCAUUUUCACUAAAUUUGUGAUUUGAUGUUAAUUUUUAACUUCUUAAACCAGAAACAUAAAUCAUGAUAGUUAGAAUCAAAUAUUGCUAUUGAAUAAUGUUAUUUGUCCCCAAUGAUGAUCAUCUUAGUGUGAUGUGACAAGUGAUGUGAAGUGAAAUGAUGAUAUCAAUUAUAUGUGCGGAUAUGAGACUUGUUUAACGAUUUUAUGUUUAACGACAUUUAUGUUCAUUGUGGAACAAAUAACGCACUCACUGUUAUUGUUCAACACCUUCACAAUAAGUUAGAAAUUAGUUGAAACCCCUUUUGAAAGCAUUUUAAUUUUCAAGUCAGGAGGAAAAGAAAUUUUUAGAAAAUCAACCAAAAGGAUUAAAAAAAAAAGAAUUUGAAGCAGUAUAUAAUGAUGUAAUAUAUGGCUACCAAAUCUCUUUAAGACAAAUUUCACCUCCCUGGUGCUAAUAUAAUAGUUGAACGUAUGAUCCUCAUGAUACAAUUUUUUUUUUUUUUAAUUACUAUAACACGAUAUUUACUUUGAUUGAUAAACUAACCUUGAUUGCGCUCUUUAUAUGAGGAUGAUUUUGAACUCUUAUAACUCUUAAAACCUCGGACACAAAUUUAAACAUAGAAAAAUAAUAUGAAAAAUAUUUUGACAAAAAAUUGGAAAGAGAAGCAUUUAGAAACCAAUUGAGAUGAAGAAAUUGCAAUAAAAUGAGUUCAAUUUAUAGACUUUAAUGUGCCUCAUCUUUUGACACAAAUUAAUAUGAAACAUUUUGAAUUGACUCAUAAUCUAGUAAUCCGGAUUGUGCCCUAUUUAAAAGUCAAUUACUCUUCAGUAUGCACCUUUUGAAUUUGAAUAAUCAAAUCUCGUCAUCAUACCCUUUAGAGAUUUAUUUCAAUUCACAAUAUAAAACCACUAAAAACUUAUUCAAUUCCAACAAAAAUACGUGUAGUGACGGAGAUUUUAAUUAUAUACACGAAUAUCAUUGCUAAAUGUUGUUUAUUAUUUGCCAAAGUAAUUGCUUACUAGAGUCGAGCUUUAUAUGGGUCAAUAGUUAGCAUGAGGUAAAGCUCUUGUCAUCCAUAACUCCCUGUAUAAGGUGUAAUAUUCCGAAAUUUUAUGCUUGUUUAAAUUUCUUUGGGAUAGCGAUUUAACUUUCAAUACUAUUUUUGGCCAUAAGGUAAAAGGGAACACCAUCUUUGUAGUGGUUAAUGUUAGAGGUAGUUAAUGAAUGUAGGCAUGAAGAGUCAAAGGUUGUGUAUGUAUGAAGUGAUUAUUAGUUAGUCGAAACUUAAGGCAAGUUUGGAUUUAAAUGAAGUGGAUUAUUUUGUUAGGACUUCAAUUAACCAAAUGAUUAAAUUUUAUUACAAUCUACAAUUUUUGAAUAUGUAAGUUGGGUAUAAGUUUAAAUUUGGGGUACACUUUGUUAACAAUGAAAGUUAGCGGGUUUAGAUUAUAUUAGUUGAAAAGAUGAGAGGUUUCCUUUGUAAAUCUAGGUUUAAAGGCCACUUAUUACCCUAUAAUCAACCCACUUGUCAUCCAUCAUCACCAUACACUUAGAUAAUAGACUAAACAUGCGUAGAAACAAGAAAAGAAAAAGAAAAAGGAGAAAAGGAGGUGAGGCGGUGGAGAAGAAAAAGGGAAGAAAAAAUAUCAAUCAUUUAUCCUUAUCUUUAUAUAUAUAUAAAUACAUCCAUAUCCAUUGCCAUAGAGAGAUUUCCUUCAUUUUAAAAAACACUUAUACACUUAAAAAGAGAGCAAAAACCGAAAAUAAGAAAGAAAAGGGAAGGAAGUAAGACUAGCACUUUUAAUUUACAUCUCAACCGAAGAUCUUCAAGUUUUACGGUAAGAUACUUUCCAUGCUUAAGAGUCAUGAUUUUCAUAGUAAUAUUUAUGCUUAAACUAUGCAUGAAAAACUACAAUAUGAUUAUGGUGGACAAGUCCACAAAGUUAGAUAUCUAUUUAUGCCUUAGGACAAGUCCGAAGGGCAAUGGCAAGCCGGAAUGUGCAAGUAUGGGUUUGAUUGCAUUCUUUUGUGUAGUAUUAUCAUGAUAAAAAUCCAAGCAUGGUAUCUUACUGAGUAUUUCUUAUACUCAUAGUAUGUUAUGCUAAAUUUUCAGAUCCAUGAUCGUUUGAAUUGAUGGAAGUUAGUUGGCUUACGCGAUGAUGGAUUAAGGACAGAUGUUUUGUACCGAAAGUUUUCUUUUGUAUGUUUUGCUCGAUGACUGUUUUCCAUUUAUUUUUCUUAUGGUACUAUGUAAAAAUAUGUACAUGACAUGAUGUAAUAUGGUAUUAAUAGUAAAUUUUGUAAUUAUAUCCCUCAUGUUAUGUUAAGAGACGUUUUUAUAGUUUAUUUUCCUUGCAAGUGAUAAAAGGCAGAAACGAGACAGUUUCUGGAGUCAUUUUUAAAACAAUGUUUCUAACUCUAUAAACGUCCAUUUGAAACUCUAAAAAUAUUUCUGUUUUCCUCUUUGAGUUUUCUAAAUAUGACCAAAGGAAUCACUCAAUUUGGAUGUCUAUGGCCUGAGUUAUCAAGGUUUUAAGUCAAGGGGUCAAUCUGAAUUUCCUGUGUAAUACUUCACUGUUUUCAGUAAAACAUCUAUAUCAUAUGAUCUUGGAAAAUUUUCAUAUUUUAACCUAGAAAACUAAUUGAAAUUAUCUUUCUAAUGCCACAAAUUUCAUAGAAAACAGAGUUGGGAUGAAUUUUAUAAAAAUUGUCAAACUUGCUGCCUCAACUAAUCUUGAUAAUGCCGAGGCCGUAUAUGUAAAGUAUAAUUUAUUGUUGACACGCACUUCUGUUGGCUAUCAAAUUUUAUAAGAAUUGUUUUAUCAAAUUGAAAAAUAAGUUUCUAACAUGUAAUACUUCUAUUUAAGAGUAUUUACAUGUACCAAAGGCAGAAGUUAUUAUGUUUAGUACGUGACCCUCGAAGCUUAAGUUCGGGGCGUCACAUAAGGGAAGUAGUACAAAGUUUGAUUUGGACUCUUUGGCUCGUACUCUACCUCUCAUUGUUCAUAGUGAUCAUAGUCUUUAGCUCAGCCACAAUGCUAAGUGAAUUAGUUCGUUGAUUGUUGAGUGUACAUCACGACGAGACACAUUAACUUACAAAUAUAUCUAACUUCUAUUAAAAAAGGGGGAAUGAAAUACCAUUGUAGAGGCAACAGUAAAGUAAUCCCAUUUCACUAUUCAAGAUUUAUUUUUCCUUUUUUUUCUUUCUUUUUCUUCUUUAGCUCGUGUCCAUCCCAGUUUUUGUCUGGACCCGUGCUCGCGACUAUACUCAUUAAGAUAGGCGACCAUACUCCUUAUUUUCAAGUACGAUACGAUUUCAAAAUUAACUAAUGACAUUCAUGAUCUCCAUUUGGCAUUUUUGAUUUUCUUCCAUGGCAUUUUCAGUUAAUUGUCUUUUUUCUUGUUUCAACGACCCACAUUCCCGAUCCUUUUUUAUUCUACUGUGAACCUUCAUCUUCGAGCUUUCUCCAUCUGGUGUGGCGUUUCAACGAGUCAAUUCUUCAGGAAGAUCUCCAGCUCGCUUGGACUCGUUGACUAGCAACAGGUUGGUGAUUAUUUAUCUUUCAUUCAUUCUUUUUUUUUUAAAUGUAUAAUUAAGUUUAGUUUGCAUUUAAUUUGUAUGUGAGUUAGUUCUUGUUGACGUUGAUUCAGUUAUGGGAAGACAACAUUGGGUACCUACAUCUACGGAGGUUGAUUUUCUUCGUCGCAUAUUUGAUGGAGGAAAUAAAAGUCCGAGCAAUACAGAAAUUGUACAUAUAGUGUCCACCUUAUCGUCACAUAAUCCUAUUAUUUUUGGAAAAAAUUGUUGACGAUUGGUUUAAGAAUAGACGAGCUUGUGAACAAAAGAAAAAGCAGAUGUGUACAACAAAGUUGGAGAGUCCUCAACUGAAAAAUCUUAUGCAUGAAUUGCAACCUCAUUCUGAUCGACAUUUAAGGAGUUUCAGUUUAAGAGGUCUACAUUUAUCAAUAUAUUUAUCUUUUUGUCCUAAAAUUCUAUGAGACUUUCCAAUUUAGCUAUAUGUUUUUUGUGCUUCAUUGUAUUUGUUAUAGCUUUUGAUGGUGUUAAUUAUGUCUUCUCACUGUACGUAAACUAAAGGUAUAUUGAUACGUUAUAGGUACGAUUUGGUCAUCUUACAUUGGUUGCUAAUCUUUUAUCCUUGUCAAACUUUGUGAAAAAUUGUUUCACUGUUUAAUGAUCUAUUGUGCAUCCGUCUUCUUUUCUUCUCGUUAGUUUUGAUGCAUUUUUUUUUUAUAUAGAAUAGAAUGGUUAGUUGCAAUUAUACUUAGUUUAUUUAUAUAGAAUGCUUUUUUUCUUACAAUUUUUUUUUUCAAAUUGUUUUUUCUUUCUUUCUUUUAGGUGAUGCUAAUCAACAUUUUGAAUAAGGAGAUGUUCAUGUUACUGUUGAAUAUACAUAACAAAUUGAUAAAUAAAUAUUCCUGAUUGACCUUAUGUCUUGCCAUCUUCUAAAAUUUGUAGCCAUUGUUGUGCAACAAAAUUCAACAGAGAAAACAAAGGCUUUUGUUAUUGUGAUGGAAAAGUCAAAUUACACUUACAUGAUAUGCCUCGUGAAAUGUGUGAUUUAUUUACUUCUACAUCUGAAGUGGUUGUAGCUUUUUAAAAAGUUGUACGCAGUUACAACAAUCAUUUUGCAUUCACUUCGUUUGGUGUUAAGUAUAAUAAAGAAUUGUGCAAGAAUAAUAAAAGUAUAUAUACUUUCGAAGUUCAAGGACAAGUAUACCAUUUCAUAAACUCACUUGUACCGAUGAACGAGGAUUCAACGUAUAUUACAAUUGUACUUCUAUGAUACUUGAAAUAAAAUUUGUAAUAAACUCAAUACUUUGGACAAGUUUUUUGAGUUCACUUUAAGAAAGUUGAUAGAUGUUCUAAACAAAAAUCCAUAUUCAAAGUUCUUCCGAUCAUUAAGUGAAGAUAUUGAUUUAGAAUCAUGUUGUAUUUUACUAAGGUCUGAUCCUGGUCUUAUCAAAGAGUAUAAAACUUGCCAACGUCAGAAUAAGUGGCCGUAGUUUGGGUUGAUGAUGACCCAUCUGCAAAUACUAGAUGUUGAAAUUUAUUAAUUUAUGGAAAUUCAGUUAAUGCAUAUAAAGUUCAAUACUAUUAUGGUCGUUAUAAUCCUCUUCAAUAUCUACUAUUUUUUUCAUAUGAAGAACUUGGAUGGCAUGAAGGUAUUCAGAAGGUAAAUGUAAGUGUUUCACAAGCUCCAAUUUGUCAGAAUUUAAUAGAAGUUAAUCAUGUCGAUUAUGUGGAUCAACUCUUGGAAGUAGAAGACUAUGGUAAACUUUAACGAUUAUUAUAAAUUCUAUUUUUUUAACUAAAUGUAUUUAUCUUACUGAUUGCAUUUAGUGAAUGAAAUUUUUGUUGAUAUAUGUUUUUCUUUCUUGCGGGUUUGAAGGCAAAGAAAAAAUUAAUAACUGUAUCAUAUCGAAAAUAUUAUUGUUACAAGCUUCAGAUCGGGUGUGUAAACAAUUGUAAUUGUGUUCUUUUACAUACUGGCAGACUUUUAUAGUAGUAUGCAGUGGAUAUUUAUGUUAAAACUGAAACAGUAGGAUUAGACUACUUUCAUAAUAACCAAAAGGUUAUAAGAGGUGAACUAUAUCAGGGAAUUGUAGACAGUGUACAAAAUGGUGAGAAUAGAGGUCAUAAAAUUGGUAGAUUAUUAGUGUUACCUUCUUGUUUUGUUGGGGGUCCUAGAAAUAUAACUAAACGAUAUAUGGAUGCAAUGUCUUUAGUUUAGAGAUAUGGUAAACUUGAUGUGUUUUUUACAAUAACAUGUAAUCCAAAUUGGUCUGAAAUAAAAUGUGAAUUGAAACAUAGUAAUGAAAUACAGAAUAUGCCAGAUUUGUUAGUACGAGUAUUCGUGCUAAGUUUGAGGAACUAAAGAUAGAUUUGGUUAAGAGAAAGUUAUGGGUCCUAUAACUGCAUAUGUUUAUGUAAUCGAAUUCUAGAAAAGAGGAUUACAUACUGUAUAAAGAAUUUCCAACAAAUUUUGUAUGGGAUGCAUAGAUACGCAAAUUUGGAGUCCCAGAAAAAGCAAGAAUGUUAUUGGUAGAAUAGUCACUGCUAAUCCAUGUGAGAGUAAGAGGUAUUUUUUAAGAGUUUUACUAAAUCAUAUUAGAAGGCUAAAAUCUUUUGAAAAUUUAAGAACAAUGAAUGGUGUUGUUCUACCUACUUAUUGUGAAGCAGCACUUUCACACGGUCUUCUUAGCGAAGAUAGUUAUUUUGUGAUGUGUUUAUCUAAAGCAGUCGCUUACCAUAUGCCCCUAUCACUGCUGCGACUAUUUGCCAAUGUGUUGAGUUUAUGUUGCCCCACAAAUCCAAGGAAUUCUUGGGACAAGUUUAAAGGUUUUAUGAUAGAAGAUCAUUUACACGAAGGUCUGAUACAACAAGGUGCUGAGAUGAAAGAUUUGCACUAUUUAAAUUCUUUCUUGGAAGGUGUUGGUAAGAAUAUAAUCGAUUUUUGUUUGGUAGAUUUUGAUUAAGUGUCAAUGAUGAUGAUAUCUUUGAAACCAUAAUUGCUGAAGAAACAAGCAAUAUUAAUUUUCAGUCAGACAUACAUUAUACUAAGAGUUUAAAUAAAAAGCAACAAAAUGCCUAUUAUAUUAUUUUGAAUUGCGUUUUAAAUGAUAAGAAUGGAAUGUUUUUUAUCGAAUGCCCAAGAGGUAUUGGAAAAACGUAUUUGCACAAGGCAUUACUUUCUGGUAUACGAUCUUGAAAUCUUAUCGCAUUAGCAACGACAUCAUCAGGUGUAGCUGCAUCUUUAUUACUAGCUGGUUGAACAGGACAUUCAAGAUUCAAAAUUCCGCUUCAAAUAAGUUCUGAUAUGCGCUAUUUGGUGAGUAAACAAUAUGCGCUUGGUAAACUUUUAGCAUUGGCUAGACUAAUAAUCUGGGAUGAAAUAUCAAUGGUUCAUAAAUAUACUUUUGAGACUUUAGAUAAAAUGUUAAGAGACAUUACUGAAUGUUAAUUAUCGUUUGGUGAAAAAGUAAUUGUGUGUAGAGGAGAUUUCCAUCAGGUUUUACCAGUAGUACAGAGAGAAACAAAAGACGAUAUAAUGAAGACAAGUUUAGUUUUUUUCGCAUUUAUGACAUUCUUUUACACAACUACCAUUAGUUGAAAAUAUGAGAGCUAAAUUAGAUCCUUCAUUUUGUGAAUAUUUGCUGAACAUUGGGAGUGGAAUUAAGAGAAUACAUUCAUGCCAAAUAAUUACACUUCCCGAAGAUAUUACCAUCAAUUUUGAUGAAUUUAAAUACUGAAUGAAUUAAUUGAUAUUGUGUUAUCCAAUUUCCAGACAUAUGGAGGCAACCUAAAUAUUAUAAUGACUAGAAUUAUUUUAAUCCAAAAAAAUGAAUAUGUAGAUAUGUUUCCAUGAUAUAAGAAAAUAAUUGUAAAUUAUUAUUGAUUUUUAUAAUUGCGUAACAGUAUUUUGUCACAUCUAGAAAAAAUAUGAUUGAAUAAGAAAUAUAUGAGGUUACACAAACUAGUUAACUUGUAUUGUUCACAUUCAAUGUUUGACAGUGUUGAUAUGAUUGAGCUAAACCUGAAAAUUAUGUUUCUAAAUCUUGUGUAAGUUCAAAUAAGUGGGAAAAUACUUGCAUUGGAAAAUUGAAGAUUCAGCCACAAAAUUUAUUUGAGAAUAACAGUAAAUUAAUUUAUAGAGAAGUAAUUGAUCCAUCAUCGCACACUUUGUGUACCAUGAAUAUUGGGAGUUCAUUAUAGCAACUCAAACACGUAUGUGUCACCUAUUUGAAGUUGUUUCUCGAAGGCAUAUUGUGACCAACCUGUGGUGAAACAUCAUACGUCACCAUUUGUUGUCAAACUCAUAGAAACAAUGCAGUUGAAAUGCGGAGAGUCAUGGAUUCGAACACUUCGUAUAAAAUUGGGUAGAUAUUCUCCACUAAAUCUUGAAAGUACAUAGUAAAAAUUAAAAUAAAAAUGAGCGAAAUAUGGAAUUUAAAAUUGUAGAAACAUCAGUAAAAUAAAACUUACAAUUUUGCGACUGCCAUUACGUUUGAAUGUUAGUCUAAAGGCAGGAUUUCCUAUAUGGAAUGUCUCUUCUUCAACAACUUUGGAGUCGGAGUGGCAUGUAUCAUAUGUUACUUCUAACUGUGAAUCGCCAAAUAUUGAAAUAUUGAAGGUAGAAUUUUCAAUAUAUUCGAGCACAAUAACAUAACCAUCUUGUAAAUUGCGAUGGUUGAAGAAUUGUUCCCAUCCACCAACUAAAUAAAUGUUAUUGUGCACUCUUUCUAGUUGUAUGGUAGCAAUUAUACCAUCGUAUCCAAUUAGACGUAUUCUGUUGGCAAGUUCGUGUCCUGGUUCAACAAAAGAUCUUGGAAGCAAUUAUACAAUGAAAAAUAAAAGUAUUUUUAGCUGAUAUAUGAUUUUAUUAGUUUUAAGAAAAUAUAAGCAUUAUAGUAAGACUUACCAAUUGAAUGUUAUGGUUUAAAGAAGUGUCAACAAUUCGAAAGAAAUGGUGUGGUACAUCCAUGCCUAACAUGAUAAGGAUUAGUGAGGGAAAAAAACACAAAUUUAGCAUUAACAACACAAAUUUAGGUUGAGCGAUAAUUACUUCAAAAUUGAAAAGGCCACAAGCAUGAGAAAAAACUUGUAAUUUUGUAAAUGUAUUGUCAAAGAAAUCUGUGUUUUCUCUUCUGAUAUAUUUAUCUCCUAUAAACUUACUUUCUUUACUGAUUCUUCCCCGGAGGCAAUGUCAAUAGUAUAGAAAAUAACGCGUAGUUGAUGAAAUUAGCUAAAAGAAAAUUACAAACAGAAUUUCAUUAAUCAUAAUAUUAUUAUAUCGACUAAUUAUAUAUACAUAUGAAAACAUUAAAUAUGUAGAAUUUGAAGUUUCAAAUCUCGAAAAAUCAUCAAAUGAUUUCACACAUUCAGGUUUUCAAUAUGAAGUUAUUAAAUAUAACAAAUAUAAUUUAGCUAAGUAGAGAUAUUUUUAUUAAUGGAUAAGCAUCAAACUUCCAACAUAUGUAAAACUUAAAUUAAAUAAAACUGCCUUCUUUAUGUAGAUUUGGUUUGUGGUUGUGCUAACUUUAGAUAGAAGAGGUGAAAUUUGUUCCGUAAGUUAAGAGAUGAAAGUGAUUAAAUGAAAUAGUGGAAGAAUAAGAAGUGAUACAUUUCUGUCAUUUUACUUUUGACAUAUAUUUUGUUUGGAUUCUUUGGCAGGAUUCUUCCUUUUUUUGUCAUAGGUUACUUUUCUUUUUCAUAGCUUAUUUUUUUCUGCUUUAUAUCUUGUUUAUUAUGUUUGUUCAUUCGUCUGGCUUUUGUUUUUGGCAUCGCAGUGAUUCUUUUUUGAGGUUUGCUUUUUAUGUUUUUGCAUUAUCUUGAAGUUAGACAUAUUCUUUUAAUUAUAUUCUUUCAUUGACGUAAAAGAAAAUAUCGAUUUGAUUUAUGAUUUGUUAUAAAUGUAUAAAAUUUAUUUAAUAUUGAAUUUCUUAAGUACUAAAUGUUGUAAUUCAAUAUUGUCUUCUUUUUAUAUAAUUGUAUUUCUUGCUUUGGGAAUACAAAAAAAAAAAAAAAAAAAAAAAAAAAAAGAAAAAAAAAGAGUGGUUAUGAAAUUGUUAACACUGUAAUUUUAGUUAAAUGUAUUUUUUUUGUUGAAUAUGAAAUUUAUUUUACAUUUUUAGGCUAUUUGUAAAAAAAAAAAACUGUAAUUUUAUUAGUGUAACAAGAAGAUUUAUUAUGAUUAUUUAAAAAAAAUUCUAUACCAAACAAUAAAUCUAUACUCUUAACUUGCCAACUUGGUGAAGAAUUAGAUGAAAUAGUAAAUGAUUGUAACAAUCACGUGAGUGUUUUUGAAAAAAGACAAAAAGCAAUGCAAAAAUUUUUAUAUUUCGGUGGUAAAGUUAUUGUAUAUAUAGUGCAAUCAAUAAUACAUUUCGCCAUUCAUUUAUUUCAAAUUGGAGCUCUCUUUCAACUGUUUUUCUUUCAGAAAAUUGCUAAUUUGAACAAAAAUUGAUCGGGUAAUUAUUGUUAAUUUUUGGCAAUUUCCUUUUGUUAUGAUUCUUUGGUUAGAUUUCUUUUUCUUUUUUCACACGUUAGUUUUCUUUCACUUACCUUUUUUAUUUUUUGUGUUCUUAUUAUGUUUAGAUUCGUUUCUCUUUUGUUUUUGGUAUUAUGUCUCUCUUCUGGCAUUGCAAUGACUCUUUCCUUUUUAUUUUUGAGAGUUUUUUUUUGUAUUAUAUUGAAGUUAAACUUAUUUUUCUAAUUAUAUUUUUUAUUUGAUUUACAGUUUUUUAUAAAAAUAUAAAAUUUAUUUUAUAUUGAAUUUCUGAAUUACUAUAUAAAAAAUAAAGAAAAUUCAAUGUUGUAAUUUUUUAUAAUAUCAUCAUAGUAAAUCUUUCACUUUAAUUCAUAUUUUUAAGCUAAUAAAAUAACAAACAAAAAAAUUGUAGAAGUCAAAUUUCAAUUAUUAUAGACAAAUAUUCAGUUUCAUGAUUUCUAGCAAAAAAAAAAAAAAAGGGUCCCGAAGUGUGGCAAAAUGUGUGAAGUAACUGCUCCGCGCAUUCACACAAAUGUGCUGAGUCUCCACACAUUACAAGUGCGCGAAGACUCUGCACAACAUUUGUAAUUAUUAUUAUUUUUUGUUCAUUUAAAUUAUUAAAUUAAUAAAUAAGAUGAAAUUAAUUCUAGGUAAAUGCAUUUUAUUUAUUUUUUUAUUACUAAUUUUUGAGAAAUUUGUAUACUUUUUUUUAGUGUAUUUUUAUUAGCUUAAUAAUAAUAAUGAUUAUUUUUGAAAAAUUCUAUAGGUAACAACAAAUCUAUACUUAGUCCCUGUUUGAUCCCCAUUACCUAAAAAUGAAAAUGGGAGGAAUAGUAUUUUUUAGAAAAAUGAGUGGUUGAAAAAGAAGGAAAAGUUUUCGAUUUACGUAUAAUAUUAUUUUAUGGAAGAUUGUGUGAUUGAAAAUAGGAGAGAGAAAAUGGAGUAUAAUGUAAUUUAAUUUAAUGAGGAUCAAAUAGGGGCUUAACCACAGGAAUUUGCUUGCAAAAGUUUUUGUUUAUUAAAAAUUGUUUUACAUGGCAAAAAUGCAACAAGUAAACAACAAAGUUGGCAGCAAUUCACGUGAUUUUUUCUGGAGAAUGCCAAAAAGUUAGUACAAACCAUUCACGUGAAUCAAAAGUUUUUGUAAGAGUGCAAACUAUCCAUUUCUUUGAAUUUCAAACUGGACUUUUCUUUUAGCUGGAUUUUUCAUCUUUAGCAAAAUCUUAAGUCAAUUUCAAAAAUAAAAAAUAAAAAAUUACCAGGUAAUUGUUUAGGAUCUAUCUACAAUCUUGCUUUUUUGUGAGUUUUCUUUUUGUUCUACUUAAUUUGCUAUUUUGCUUUGCUGUGAAAAUUUUUUGGACUACUUUUGAUCUACUUUGAUGUAUUUGAAAAGUUAAAUGUUAUCUUUUUACUAUGAAAUGAAGGCAAAGACACAUUUCAUGGAUACAUACAACUGGAAUAUAGGUUUACAUGAUUGUUUUUGAAAUGCUUAAUUUUGAUUGCUAAUUUCUGGAAUGAUGCCUUUUGAUUGCUUGUUAUCUUUAUUGAUAGACCUUGACAUGUUGUUGACUCUUUGAUUCCUUUAAAUUUCCCACAGUACAAAUUUAUAUGUCUCCAUGUUGCAUGAUUAUCUAGAACCAUACAUCAAAGUAUUCACUUUGUUAUUGUCUAUCAGGAUAUGCUUUUGAGUACAUUGUUUUAUAGCACUAAAUUUUUGUUUAUUAAUUCUUUAUGUAGAUAAAGUGGAAAAUAUUUGUGUAAGGUAUAUUUUAAUUUUUAUUCGUAACCACGUCUUCUCCAAAAAUUAGUUUGUAAAUAAGUUUAAUUAUUUGAUGCAGAUGUCUCUAGAUUAUAUCUUGUCUCCAAACCUAUGGUUUUGUGCUACUAUUAGUCAAUAUUCAAGUCAUUAGUACGUUAGAGAUUUGAUACAAUUGUUAGAAGCAGAUGAACAAGCAUCAUUUCAUGAACUCAUAUAUUGAUUCAUGUACAAAGACGAAGAGCAACAAUUUAGUAGCAAGUUGAUACAUAAAUUCAUAAUGAGAAUUGUGAAUUCUGGUAAAAACAAUUAAAUAUGGGUAAGAUUUGAUGACCAUCUUGCCCAUUUUAAAAUAUAAGAAUUUUGCUUAAUCACUGGAUUAUCUUGUCAUGAAGCAUCUUUUAAUCUUGAUGGUAGUAGUCCUCGGCUUAGAAAUCAGUAUUUCAAUUGUGUGAAAAGAAUUUUUAUAAGAAUGCUUUGUUAUGCCUUCCAUUCAUGAGAAUAUCGAAAAGAUAAAUUGAAACUUGGAUUGGUUAUGUUGAUAAAGUGUGUUCUCAAACCAACUCAAAGACACAUUGAUUACAGAAUGCUAGGUAUGGUUGAGUAGCUUGAUGAUUUUCUUUUGUAUCCAUGGGACCGAAAGACAUACUUUGUUCUGUUGAAUUUAUUGCAAUAAUCACACCUCGAAAGAAUACGGAGAAUGUAACAAGCUGAGCAAAGGGAGUGUAAAUAUACGCUAUAUGGUAUCCUCCUGCUUUUCAUGUAUUUCUUUUUUUUACUAACUUUUUAUGUAUUAUAUAGUUUAAUGUUGUAUAUAUCUCAUAUUUAGUUUCAAUUUCGUGUUGCAGUUUUAGAUAUACGAAGCAUUUCCCAAGAUUGAAAAGAAAUUUGGACACCGGAGAUAUAAAACAUUACAAAUUUCAAGAAUGCAUAAAUGGAAGCCGAAUGAAAUAUUAAUAGACAAAAUUGUAAAACAUUUUUGCUGUUGUUCAAACAUUUGCUUCUGAUUUUCAAGACAAAUUCCAAGAACAGCAAAAAUGUUUUACAAUUUUGUCUAUUAAUAUUUCAUUCGGCUUCCAUUUAUGCAUUCUUGGAAUUUGUAAUGUCUUAUAUCUCUACUGUCCAAAUUUCUUUCCAAUAUUGAGAAAUGCUUUGUAUAUCCAAAACUGUAACAUGAAAUUGAAACUAAAUAUUAGAUAUAUACAACAUUAAACUAUACAAUACAUAAAAAGUUAGUAAAAAAGGUAAAUACUUGAAAAGCAAGAGGAUAUCCAUGUAACGUAUAUUUAUACUCCCUUUGCUCAGCUUGUUGCAUUCUCUAUAUUCAUUCGAGGUGUGAUUGUUGCAAUGAAUUCAACAGAACAAGUAUGUCUUUCGGUCUUAUGGAUACAAAAGAAAAUUAUCAAGCUGCUCAACCAUACCUAGCAUUCUGUAAUCAAUGUGUCUUUCGGUUGGUUUGAGAACACACUCUACCAACAUAAUCGAUCCAAGUUUCAAUUUAUUUUCUGGAUCUUCACAUGAAUGAAAGGCAUUACAAAGCAUUCUCAUAAAAAUCUUUUCCACACCAUUGAAAUACUGGUUUUUAAGCCGAGGACUACUACUGUCAAGAUUAACAGAUGUUUCGUGGCAAGGUAAUUCAGUGAUUAAGCAAAAUUCUUGCAUUUCAAAACGGGCAAGAUGGCCAUCAAAUCUUAUCCACACUUAAUUGUUUUUACUAGAAUUCACAAUCCUCAUUAUGAAUUCAUGUAUCAACUUGCUACUAAAUUGUUGCUCUUCGUCUUUGUACAUGAAUCAAUAUAUAAAUUCAUGAAAAUCAUUGCACAUUAGUGAUGCUUGUUCAUCUACUUCUAACAAUUGUAUUAAAUUUCUAAUGUACUGAUGAUUUGGAUAUUGACUAAUAGUAGCACAGAACCAUAGUUUUGGAGACAUGGUAUAAUCUAGAGACACCUGUAUCAAAUAACAAAACUUAUUUACAAACUAAUUUUUGGAGAAAACGUGGUUACAAAUAAAAAUUAAAACAUACCUUACACAAAUAUUUUUCACUUUAUCCACAUAACGAAUUAAUAAACAAAAAUUUAGUGCUAUAAAAUAAUGUACUCAAGAGCAUAUCCUGAUAGACAAUAACAAAGUGAAUACUUUGAUGUAUGGUUCUAGAUAAUCACGCCACAUGGAGACAUAUAAAUUUGUAUUGUGAGAAAUUUAAAGGAAUCGAAAAGUCAACAACAUGUCAAGGUCCAUCAAUAAAGAUACCAAGCAAUCAAAGGCACCUAGCAGACAAAUAUACUCAACAAACACAAAAUAUUGACUUUUUAAAAUAAAAGAAGGCAACUAUCAUAGUAUAUUCUUGAACUCCAAAAAUUAACAAUCGAAAUUAAAUAUUUCAAAAACAAUUAUGUAGACCUAUAUUCUAGUAGUAUGUAUCCAUGGAGUUUAUCUUUACCUUCAUUUUUGUUUCUAAAAUCCUCUCUUUUUCAACAAAAAAAAAUCAGUAAAAAGAUAACAUUUAGUUUUUAAAAUACAUCAAAGCAGAUCAAAAGUAGUCCAAAAAAAUUUUCAUAGUAAAGAAGAAAAUAAAUUAAGUAGAACAAAAAGAAAAUCCACAAAAAGCAAGAUUAUAGAUAGAUCCUAAGCAAUUACCUGGUAAUUUUUAUUUUUAUUUUUUUGAAAUUGACUUAAGAUUUUGUUAAAGAUGAAAAAUCCAGCUGAAAGAAAACUCCAAUUUGAACUUCAAGGAAAUGGAUAGUUUGCACUCAUACAAAAACUUUUGAUUCACGUAAAUAAUUUGUACUAACUUUUUAGCAUUCUUCAGAAAAAAUAAUGUGAAUUACUGCCAACUUUGUUGUUUGCUAGUUGAAUUUGUGCCGUGUAAAACAAUUUUUAAUAUACAAAAACUUUUGCAGUCAUUUUUUGGCAUAUUCCAAGUAGACUUGUGUGAUUGGUUUGUUGAACUCAUUUACUAUUUCAUUUAAUUCUUCACGAACUUGGUUGGUUAAGUAUAGAUUUGUUGUUAUCUAUAAAAUUUUUUUAAAAAUAAUCAUUAGUAUUAUUAAGAUAAUAAAAAUACACUAAAAAAAGUAUACAAAUCAAAUUUCUCAAAAAUUAGUAACAAAAAAGUAAACAAAAUGCAUUUACCUAGAAUUAAUUUCAUCUUAUUUACUAAUUUAAUAAUUUAAAUAAACAAAAAUAAUAAUAAUUACAAAUGAUGUGCGGAGCAACUCCGCACAAAGUGCGGAGUCUUCAUACAAAUGUGCAGAGUCUGUGCAGAGUUGUUCUGCACAUUGUGCCAUACUCCGGAACCUCUUUUUUUGUUAGAAAUCAUGCAACCUAAUAUUUGUCUAUAAUAAUUGAAAUUUGACUUCUACAAUUUUUUGUUUAUUAUUUUAUUAGCUUAAAAAUAUGCAUUAAAGUGAAAGAUUUACUAUGAUAAUAUGAUAAAAAAUUACAACAUUGAAUUUUCUUUAUUUUUUAUAUAGUAAUUCAGAAAAUCAAUAUAAAAUAAAUUUAUUUUAUAUUUUUAUAAAAAAAACUGUAAAUCUAAUAAAAAAGUAUAAUUAGAAGAAUAAAUUUAGCUGAAAAAAACCCCUCAAAAAUAAAAAGGAAAGAACCAUUGCAUUGUCAGAAGAGAAACAAAAUACCAAAAACAAAAGCGAUAUGAAUCUAAAAUAAUAAGAAGAAGACAAAAAAUGAAAAAGUAAGUGAAAGAAAACUAACGUGCGAAAAAGAAAAAGAACCAAUCCUGCCAAAGAAUCACAAAUAAAGGAAACUGCAAAAAAAUUAACAACAAUUACCUGGUCAAUUGUUGUUGAAAUUAGCAAUUUCCUGAAAGAAAGCUCCAAUUUGAAAUAAAUGAAUAGUAAAAUAUAUUAUUGAUUGCACUAUACAUACAAUAACUUUACCACUGAAAUUUAAAAAAAAUUGUAGUGAUUUUUGGCUUUUUCCAAAAACAUUCACAUGAUUGUUACAAUCAUUUACUAUUUCAUCUAAUUCUUCACAAAAUUGGCAGGUUAAGAGUAUAGAUUUAUUGUUUGGUGUUGAAAUUUUUUUAAAUAAUCAUAAUAAAUCUUUUUGUUACACUAAUAAUUUUUUUUUUUACAAAUAGCAUAAAAAUGUAAAAUCAGUUUAAUCUUCAACAAAAAAACACAUUUAACUAAAAUUAUAGUAUUAGCAAUUUCAUAACCACUCUUUUUUUAUUUAUUCCCAAAGCAAGAAAUACAAUUAUAUAAAAAGAAAACAAUAUUGAAUUACAAUAUUUAGUAUUUAAGAAAUUCAAUAUCAAAUUAUACAUUUAUAACAAAUUAUAAAACAAAUCAAUAUUUUCUUUUACGUUAAUGAAAGUAUAUAAUUAAAAGAAUAUGUCUAACUUUAAGAUAACGCAAAAACAAGAAAGCAAACUCUCAAAAAAGAAUCACUUCAUUGCCAAAAACGAAAGUCAGACAAACAUAAUAAACGCAAUACAAAGAAGAAGAAAAAAACUGUAAAAAGAAAAAUUAACCUAUGAAAAAAAAAAAGAAUCAUGUCAAAGUAUCUAAACAAAAUACAUAUCAAAAGUAAAAUGACAGAAAUGUAUCACUUCUUAUUCUUCUACUAUUUCAUUUAAUCCCUUUCAUCUCUCAAUUUACAGAACAAAUUUAACCUCUUCCAUCUUCCAUCUCAAGUUAACACGGCAAAAAACCAAAUCUAAAGAAAGAAUGUAGUUUUUUUUUUUUUUAAUUUAAAUUUUACUUAGGUUGGAAGUUUGAUGCUUAUCUAUUAAUAAAAAUAUCUCUACUUAUCUAAAUUAUAUUUGUUAUAUUUAAUAACUUCAUAUUGAAAACUUGAAUGUGUGAAACCAUUUGAUGAUUUUUCGAGAUUUUAAACUUUCAAUUCUACAUAUUUAACGUUUUCCUAUGUAUAUAUAAUCAGACGAUAUAAUAAUAUUAUGAUUAAUGAAAUUCUGUUUGUAAUUUUCUUUUAUCCAUUUUCAUCAACUAAGCAUUAUUUUCUAUAUUAUAGACAUUGCCUUUGGGGAAAAAUCAGUGAAGAAAGUAAAUUUAUAGGAGAUAAAUAUACCAGAAGAAAAAACAUAGAUUUCUUUGACAAUGCAUUCACAAAAUUACAAGUUUUUUCUCAUGCUUUUGACCUUUUCAAUUUUGAAUUAAUUAUUUCACUCAACCUAAAUUUGUAUUGUUAAUGUUAAAUUUGUGUUUUUUCCUUCACUAAUCCUUAUCAUGUCAGGCAUGGAUGUACCACACCGUUUCUUUCGAAUUCUUGACACUUCUUUAAACCAUAACAUUCGACUGGUAAGUCUUAUUAUAAUGCUUAUACUUUCGUAAAACUAAUAAAAUCAUAUAUCAGCUAAAAAUAUUUUUAUUUUUCAUUGUAUAGUUGCUUCCAAGAUCUUUUGUCGAAUCAGGACAUGAACUUGUCAACAGAAUACGUUUAAUUGGAUACGAUGGUAUAAUUGCUACCAUACAGCUAGAAUGAGUUCACAAUGACAUUUAUCUAGCUGGUGGGUGGGAACAAUUUUCGACCAUCACAAUUUACAAGAUGGUUAUGUUAUUAUGUUCGAAUAUAUUGGAAAAUCUACCUUCAAUGUUUCAAUAUUUGACGAUUCACAGUUAGAAGUAACUUAUGAUACAUACCACUCCGACUCCGAAGUUGUUGAAGAAGAGACUCCAUAUAGGAAAUUCUGACUUUAGACUAACAUUAAGACGUAAUGACAAUCGCAAAAUUGUAAGUUUUCUUUUACUGGUUUUCCACAAUUUUAAAUUUCCUUGUUCGCUCAUUUUUAUUUUUACUUUUUAGUAUGUACCUUCAAGAUUCAGUGGAGAAUAUCUACCCAAAAUUAUACGAAGUGUUCGAAUUCAUGACUCUCCACAUCUCAACUGGCUUGUUUUUACGAGUUUGACAACAAAUGGUGACGUACGAUGUUUCACCAUAGUUUGGUCACAUAUGCCAGAGAGAAACAAAUUCAAAUAGAUGACACAUACAUGUUUGAAUUGCUAUAACAAACUCUCAGUGUUCAUGGUACACAAAGCAUGCAAUGAUGGAUCCAUUACUUCUCUAUAAAUUAAUUUAUUGUUAUUCUGUAAUAAACUUUGUGGUUGAAUCUUCAAUUUUCCAAUGCAAGUAUUUUCCAACUUAUUUGGACUUACACGAGAUUUAGAAACAUAAUCUUCAGAUUCAACUCAAUCAUAUCAACACUGUCAAACAUUGAAUGUCAAUAAUACAAGCAAAAUAGUUUGUGUAAACUCAUAUAUUUUUUAUUCAAGCAUAUUUUUUUUAGACGUGACAAAAUAUUGUUAUGCAAUUAUAAACCAGUAAUAAUUUGCAGCAAUUAUUUUCUUAUAUCAUGGAAACAUUUCUAGAUAUUGCUUAAAAAACAUUCCAAAAAAUUAAAAUUUAUACGCUAAUAAAGAUACGAUAAAUACAAAAUUCGUGCAACACACGUGACAGCAACUAGUGAUGGAAGAAAAUAGAAGAAUUGAUGUGGUAAUGCAGACCAAUGAUGAGUUGUGUAAUAAGAGUUAAUACAAAAGUUUAAAUAAUUGUUGAGAAAGGAAUCUUAUUUAUUUUACUCGUGUAUUUGGACUUGGUGUUCUCAAUCAUUAAACAAAAAAUACAAUACGAAAAAACCAAAUAAGAAAAGAAAGAAAGAAAGCUUCCUAACACUAUGCAAUAACAAAAAACAGCAAGAUAUUGCAUGAAAAAAAAAAUCUCAUUUCUCCUCCCAAUGCCUAAUGAGAGAAGAAUAAUCAAGAUAAUAACAAACAAAAGAAUGAUUCUAAAACAAGCCCAUUUCCUAGUAAUUCUGGUGUUUCCUAGCCACCUCCAGCUGAGAAGUGAUCGUUAAUUUUUGAGAUGUUGAAUUGAAGUGGGUCUAAUAAUGAAAAAGUGACAUUAUGGAGUUGUGUUGAAGGGAGAAUGAGGAAUUGAAGUAGAGAAUUGAAGGGUGAAUCAAUUUGAAUGGUUGAGAGAGGACCUGUCCAACGAGUCGACUGACUGAAUGGUUUAACAAAUAUAGUUUUGCUACACUUAUGAUUUUGUUAACAUUCUAUGAUGUGCCAUGCAAUUUGGUUGCUUACUUGAAUAACACUUACUCAAAUCAAUGGGUCAGAUUUUUUACACGUCAUGAAAUGUCAACUAAAAUGUACAAAAUAAAUGUACAAGUAACUUAAUUCUAACGAAUAAUUUUCUUCAUGGAAGAAGCAAAGACAAGAGAGACAAGUCAACCGAUGCAGAUGGAUAAGAGUGAAAGUCAAAAUUGACUUUUGUUACAGAAAUUGAAGGUUGGUAGGUCGGGGGAUUCCUAAAUCCUAUUAUUGUCCUGCAAAGAAACCAUUUUGGUAAAUGCUAAGCUACCACUCUUUAACUGGCAUCUCAUUCAUGCAACUUGAUUAAAAAUGGGACAAUUAACAAGUUUUUCUAGAUCAUUACACUCAGUGGAAAAGGACUUCCUCAUUUAUAACUGUUCAGUCAUAUUCAAUUUCGUGUACUAAUCAGAGUCUACGAUGGGAGAAAAUGGGUUUUAUGAACAGAAAUUUAAUAAGGAUAAAAUAUUAGAUAAAGCACGGUGUUUAAAUGACACGUAUUAUCUAAAAAUCCAGGAGACUUGCAUAGUGGACACUGUUUAUGUGUUCUGAUACGGCACAAAAUCUAAAUCUCCAGUCUCUUGAUUAUAGAGACAUAAAAGGCCAUCCUCUUCAAUAGUCCAAACACAUUUGGUAGCACACCUAUCAACAUCAUGUUUAUAUGAAUAUGCAACAAAGUGGUGCCAAUUUGAAUCAUUCCACAUCACAGUACAGUAAAAAAGAGUAGUCCCCCAAAUAUUAACAUUGAAACUCCAAUCAGCUUCAAAGCCAUCGGGUAUUUUACGAAAACCAAGAUCAUUAUCCCGUGGCUUGCAAUGGAUAUUCAAAAUCCUUUCGUGUCCCAGACGAUUUACAACACUUGCGCCGACUCUAUCUAGCACCAUUGAUUCAGACAGCCUCAAAACCAGAAAAAGAACGAGAGCACAUGUUUUAGACAUAACAAUGUUUUUUAUCAUUUUUUGUGAGUUGUUACGACAAAUGGUAAUAGCUCCCUUUAUACUUUCAUGAAGGCCGGGUGCGGUGAGGCGGGUUUAUGUUGUCAUGCAAAGAGAACACAAGACUAGCUAGCUCUCUACUACUGUCUGUUCAUUCUUGAACACCAUUUUUUUUAACCAUAUAAGUUUCAUUUUUUACAGAUUUCACCUCCCAAUUCUAUCAAAAAAUUAACUGCAGUAACCUUUAAUUUAAUAUGACAAUAGGUCUCAUAUUGCCAAACAAGAAAAGAAUAUGAUAGAACAUUGUAUCUUAAUUUAAUCAGGAAUAAGAAAUCUUAGUAAAAUUAGGUAAGUCAUUGCCCCUCUGUCAUUUAUUUUGAUUGCACAAAGACAACUUCUAUGUCAAGUUUGGUGGCGAACCAAGCAAGAAUUUAGUCUUAAGAAAGGAGGGAGGGAAAAAAAAAACUACAAUCUUAUUCAUAGUACUGUCCUAAAACGUAAAAAUGAAAAAAUCUCACUUUUAUUGUUUAAUAUUAACUACUGUUCAUUUUCUAAAUGUAAAAAAUGAAUGUGCUAGAGUUCAUCGAUUUAACUCUCAUUGCCCACCUGCCAUUAAUUUUGGUGCACAAAGACAACUUCUAUGGCAAGUUUGGUUGGGUGAACAAAGCAAGAAUUCACAGAGUAUUGAGAAAGAAGAGAAGAAAAAAAAAGUACAAUCUUAUUCAUAAAGUAUUGUCCUAAAACAUAAAAAUUGUUAUAAAUGGAAAGUUCAUUAAAGUUUAUUGGUGAAUGACAUUUGUAUCCUUGUAGCCCUAGAAAUUAUUACCAUUUUAUCCCUAAUUCUUACCUAUAAAUAUAGGGUUUUAAUUUUCAAUAAUACAUACAAAAGGUUUAUUGAGUUUUCUCUAUUGUCUUUGAGUUUUCUCUAUUCUCUUUUCCUCUCAUUUUAUAACACGUUAUCAGCACAAAACUCUUAGAAAGUAGUAAUUUUUUUUUUGCAUAAUUAUCUAUCACGUAUAUUAAAAUUAAUUUGAUAAUACGUGAAUUUUACAUAUACAUAUGUUGAAUCUACAAUACGUGAUCUCAUCUUUCUCGAUCAUUAUGUUUUCUUUAUACCUCUCUUUGAAUUAAUUAAUAUUUUUUUCCUUUACAUCAAUCCACGUGCAUUUUUAUGGAGAUAUAUUUAUGUUAAAUCAAUUGAUAUGCAUUAAUUCAUGUUCUUAUACCCUCCUUAUAUUUAGAUUAGCUCUUUACGUUCUACACAUACUUAUAAUUUUUUUUGGUUUAAUUGGUCAAUGUUCUUUGUAAGCAAGCUUCAAUUCCAAAUCUCUAUUUUGGCUGAUUCCAUAUAUAUAUAUAUAUAUAAUAUACAAUUAACAAAUAACUGUGCCCAACUCAUCUUUUCUCUCAAAUCCAUUGGUUUCUGCAAAUUUCAUGCCUUAAUUGGUUAAUACUAAUUCAAUUCUUUUAAUUGCACAUAAUUAGAAUUUCGUGCCAUAAUAUGUAAAUAGAUUUCUACAUGUCACCAAUUUUUUUUUGUGUUUCACCCGACUCACGUUAUUAAUUCAAAAUAAUAUUUUAUAUGUGUUUGUAUAUUAAUUAAUGGUGAACAAUUGGAUGUAUUAUUAUUUUUUUUAUGUUUAGUUAUGAAAUAUUACAUUAAAUUUAUUUUUAAUUGUUGUUGCUCCUGAAGCAGCACAACAUUAUAAUUAAUAUUUCAGAAGAAUAUUAAUCAUAGAUCUAUUCGUUGUUGCUCUAAAAGUAACACAACAUUAUAAGAAUAUUAUUUGCAUCUGAAGAGCAUAAAUUAUAACUCUCAAUAUUCCAAAAGAAUAUUGACAUAUUACACUUGAAGAAAUAAUAGCAAAAUAUAAUGUGCUCCAGAAGUAGCAUAUGUUUCGAAAAACAUAUUAUUUCAAAUUAGUGUUUAUCCCUAGAGGAAAACACGUAACUUAAAGUCAUAUUGAUAUUGACUAUUUGAUUAACAUGUGAUAAUUAAUCAUAUUCUUCGAAACUAAUUGUAUUUUUUAUUGUGUAGUUAAACAAAUGGCAAACAUUACGAAACUUGAAUUUGCUGCACUUGACAUAUCUGGUAAAAAUUAUUUGUCAUGGAUACUGGAUGCUGAUAUCCAUCUCGUCUCAGAGGGUUUGGGAGAGACAAUAAAAGAAGGAAACAAUGAAUCCAUGCAGGAUCGUGCAAAAGCACUCAUUUUCCUCCGUCACCAUCUUCACGAUAGAUUAAAAAUUGAAUAUCUCACUGAGAAAGAUCCACGAGUUCUUUGAAAAAGUUAACUGAAAGAUUUGAUCAUCAGAGGACUAUAGUCCUCCCCAAAGCCCGUUAUGAGUGGAUGCACCUUCGUUUGCAAGACUUUAAAAUGGUUAGUGAGUACAAUUCUGAAUUGUUCAGAAUAUGUUCAAAGUUGACUUUGUGUGGAGAAAAAAAUCACCGAUGAAGAUAUGUUGGAAAAAACUUUCUCCACCUUUCAUGCUUCGAAUGUGCUCCUGUAGCAGCAAUAUCGUGAGCGUUGCCUCAAAAAGUACUCAAAACUUAUAUCUUGCCUACUAGUUGUUGAACAAAAUAAUGAAUUGCUGAUGAAAAAUCAUGGAUUAUGUCCAACUGGUUCUGUACCAUUGCCUGAAGCAAAUGGUACUAUAUUGUCUGAAGCAAAUACAAUAUCAAGACAAGGACGUGGACGUGGACACGGACACGGACACGGACACGGACGUAUACGUGGAAUAAAUCAUGGAAGAAAUAAUCAACAACAAGGCAAUAAAUUCAAAAAGCACAAAGCAAACGAGAGUGACAAAUCUAAAAAGGAGCAUGAAGAAAGUUGCUUCAGAUGUGGAAUGAAAGAGCAUUGGGCACGUACGUGUCGUACCUCAAAAUAUCUUGUGGAUCUCUACCAGAGAUCAAUCAAGAGAAAAGAAAAAUUGAAGACUAAUUUUACUGAUUAUGAUGGUCCAAUUGAUGUGGCUCAUUUAGAUGUCUCCGAUUUCUUUACUGAUCCAAAUGGAAAUAUUGACGAUUUGGUUGGGGGUGAUGUGAUAGAAGAUAUAGAUUAAUUUACUAGUAUUUCUUUCGUUUUAAAAAUUCAGUCUGAAAUAUGUUUUUACUUUUCCGCACAAAAAAAUAAAAAAAUAAAACUCUAUUAUGCACCGUUUAUUUCAUGAUAUUAAGUAAUGUUUACUUCUUUAAAUCUAAAUUCAAAUUUUUUUUAUUUUGUUUAUUUUGUUAUAUUUAUAGAUUCAUGAUGGAUAGUCAAAACAAGUACUUAAUUGAUAGUGCAACUACACAUACUAUUUUUCAAGACAAAAAAUACUUUUUGGACUUAAUAUUAGCUGAAAAUAAUGUUAACACGAUAUCGGGCGCGUCGAAUAUCGUUGAAGGCUCCGAAAGAGCUUGUAUUAAUUUACCAAAUAAUACAAAAUUAUAUAUUGACAAUACAUGAGAAAUUUGCUUAAUUUUAAAAAUAUUCGGUGCAAUGAAUAUCACAUUGAGACGAUACAAGAAAAUAAUGUUGAAUAUUUUUGCAUCACUUCUUUUGUAUCUGGCAAGAAGCAGAUAAAACAAAAAUUUCAUGCACUCCCGUCUGGCAUGUAUUUUACAUUUAUAAAAAUGGUCGAAUGAAAUAAUGUUACGAACCAGAAGUUCGUUGAUUCAAAAAGUUUUAUACUUUGACAUGAUCGACUUGGACAUCCAAGAGCCAUAAUGAUGUGUCGAAUAAUAAACAACUCACAUGGACAUCCUUUAAAGAAUCAGGACAUUCUUUUAUCUAAUGAUUAUCCAUGUGUAGCUUGUUCGCAAGACAAGUUAGGCAUUAGACCUUCAACUACAAAGGUCAAUAUUGAAUCUCCAACUUUCUUGAAAAGAAUACAUAGAGAUAUAUGUGGGCCAAUACACUCACCAUGUGGACCAUUUCGUUACUUUAUGGUAUUAAUUGAUUCUUCUACAAGAUGAUCACAUAUUUGCCUACUUUCAACUAGAAAUGUAUCAUUUGCUAGACUACUUGUUCAAAUCAUAAAAUUGCGAGUACAAUUCCCUGAUUACUCAAUCAAGACUAUUCGUCUUGACAAUGCUGGUGAAUUUAGAUUACAAGCAUUUGAUGAUUAUUGUAUGUCAAUUGGGAUUGAAAUUGAACAUUCAGUUGCACAUGUUCAUACACAAAAUGGUUUAGCGGAAUCGUUUAUUAAACGUCUAUAACUUAUUGCUAGAUCAUUACUUAUGUAAACAAAACUCCCAACUUCUGUUUGGGGUCAUGUCAUAUUACAUGCUGCAUCAUUGGUUCGUAUAAGACUAACUGCCUAUCAUCAAUAUUCACCUUUGUAACUUGCAUUUGAUCAUGAACCUGAUAUUUUUCAACUACGAGUUUUUGGUUUUGUUGUCCAAGUUCCUAUUUCACCCCCACAACGUACUAAAAUGGGUCCCCAACAAAGACUUGGGAUUUAUGUGGGUUUUGAUUCACCAUCUAUUAUUAAAUAUCUUGAACCUUUAACGGGUAACUUAUUUACUGCACAUUUUGCAGAUUGUCAUUUUGAUGAAAUGACUUUCCCAACUUUGGGAGGAGAAAAACUACAUCCUGAAAAACAAGAUAGAAUUUCUUGGAAUGAGACAACUCUAUCUCACUUUGAUCCCCGCAGCAAUCAAUGUGAACAAAAGGUAGAAAAAAUCAUUCAUUUGCAAAAAGUUGCAAUUCAACUACCUGAUGUAUUUGUUGACACGAAAAAAGUGACAAAGUAAUAUAUUCCAACAGAAAAUAUUUCAGCAAAAAUUAAUGUCCUUGCAAGACAAUCUGCUGUGGCAAAUGAAUCUCAAAUACGCCAGAAGCGUGGUCGACCAGUUGGUUGAAAAGACUCUGUACCUCGAAAAAGAAGAGUACAGGAGAAAAACCAACCAAAAACUUCAAAAAAAAUCACAUUAGAAAAAAUUGAUCAAUCAAAUAUUGAAUGUACGGUUCCUGAAGACUAGAGGUGUUCGAAAAUAAUGAGAUCUCAAUAAAUUAUAUGAUAUCUCAUAAAUUAUGGGAACGGAAUAAUAUUGUUAUAGACAAUAUUUUCGCCUUUAACAUGACUCUUGAUAUUAUGCAAAAUGAGGAUCCUAAACCACAGUCUGUUAAUGACUGUCGAAAUAGAAGUGAUUGGCCAAAAUGGAAAGAAGCGAUACAAGCAGAAUUGAAUUCUUUGGAGAAACGAAAAGUGUUUGGACUAAUAGUUCGAACACCUGAAAAUGUAAUCUCUGCUGGAUACAAAAGGGUUUUUGUACGAAAGCGAAAUGAAAAUAAUGAAAUUACAAGAUACAAAGUCCGAUUAGUGGCUCAAGGUUUCUCCCAAAGACCGGGAAUUGAUUAUGAGGAAACAUAUUCUUCCGUAAUGGAUACCAUCACUUUUAGGUUCUUAAUUAGUUUGACCGUGUCACAAGGGCUCGAUAUGCGCCUUAUGGAUGUAGUAACUGCCUACCUAUAUGGUUCACUUGACAAAGAUAUAUAUAUGAAAGUCCCUGAAAGAUUUAAGGUGCCAGGAAUAAAUGAUAUAUGUCUGAGAACUAUGUUCUCAAUUAAAUUGCAAAAAUCAUUAUAUGGAUUGAAACAAUCCGGACGCAUAUAGUAUAAUCGUCUUAACAAAUAUUUAUUGAAAGAAGGUUAUAAAAAUGACGAUAUCUGCCCAUGUGUUUUCAUAAAGAAAACAAAUAUUGGAUUUGCAAUUGUGGCAGUUUAUGUUGAUGAUUUAAAUUUAAUUGGAACUCGUGAAGAGCUCAACAAAAUUACAGAUUAUUUGAGAAAUGAAUUUGAGAUGAAAGAUUGGGGGAAAAUCAAAUUUUGUCUUGGAUUACAAAUUGAACAUUUUCUAGAGGGAUUAUUUUUUCAUCAAUCUACUUAUACAGAAAAAGUCUUGAAACGCUUUUAUAUGGAUAAUGCACAUCCAUUGCCAUCACUUAUGGUUGUUCGAUCACUUGAUGUGAAAAAAGAUCCAUUUCGUCCACUUGAAGAUGGAGAAAAGAUUCUUGAUCCUGAAGUAUCAUACUUUAGUGCAAUUGGAGCAUUAACUUAUCUUGUAAAUUGCAUUCAACCUGACAUAGCUUUUUCUGUAAAUCUCCUUGCAAGAUAUAGCUCUAUACCAACUCAAAUGCAUUGGAAUGGUGUUAAACAUAUUUUUCGUUACCUAAAAGGUACUAUUGAUAUGGGACUAUUUUAUUCUCAAAAGUCAGGAUCUGCUUUAGUAGGAUAUGCAGAUACAGGUUAUCUCUCCGAUCCACAUAAAACUAAAUCACAAACAAGACAUGUGUUUACACGUGGAGGAACAGCUAUAUCAUAGAGAUCUGUGAAGCAAUCCUUGACGGCAAUAUCCUCAAAUCAUUCUGAUAUUAUUGCAAUCCAUGAAGCAAGGCGAGAAUGUGUGUGGUUGAGGAAUAUGACCCAUCAUAUCCAAUUAUCAUGUGGAUUGACUUCAACAAAAGAUAGUUCAACAAAUUUGUUUGAAAAUAAUGCAGCUUGUAUCGCACAACUCAAAGGAGGCUAUAUCAAAGGCGACAGGACGAAGCAUAUUUCUCCAAAAUUCUUUCAUACACAUGAACUUCAGAAGAAUUGUGACAUUGAUAUUCAACAAAUUCGCUCAAGUGACAAUGUAGCUGAUCUAUUCACAAAAGCGCUGUCAAUAUCUACAUUCAAGAAAUUAGUUCAUGAGAUUGGAAUGCGUCAACUCAAAGAUUUUCAGUGAUCGACAUCAGGGGGAGUAGCUGUACUCUUUUUCCUUCGCUUAGAUUUUGUCCCAUUGGAUUUUCCUAGCAAGGUUUUAAUGAGGCAGCAUUUAAUUUUAAUACUCCAAAAUAAUUAUACUCUUUUUCCUUCGUUUGAUUUUUUUUCCCAUUGGAUUUUUAUCAAACAAGAUUUUAACGAGACAAAUAUUUUGUAAUAUGUCAUUCAAGGGGGAGUGUUGUAAAUGAAAGUUCAUUAAAAUUUAUUGGUGAAUGACAUUUGUACCCGUGUAACCCUAGAAAUUAUUACCAUUGUAUCCCUGAUUCUUACCUAUAAAUAUCGGACUUUGAUUUUCAAUGAUACAUACAAAAGAUUUAUUGAGUUUUCUCUAUUCUCUUUUCCUCUCAUUUUAUAACAAAAAUGAAACGAUCUCACUUUUUAUCCUCUUUUAUUUUUAAUAUUAACUUCAAAUCAUUUUCCAAAUGUAAAAAAAUGAAUGUGUGAGAGUUAAUAGAUUUAAUAUAAUAUUGUUAAAAAUGCCCCCCGAGACAAAAUCCAAUAGUACAAAAGAUAUGAGUGAGAUAGUCUCAACCUUACUGGUAGCCGUAGUGUGAGGGUUUGAUUCAUGAGAUAUGAAAUUGAACUCUUUGUGAACACCAAUGUAUGAACAAACUCUUAUUUCUUAACCUACUGAGGCACAUUCUGCGAUUUACCCCCCUCGCAAUGCUCCAGGGGCGAGGCGGUGGGACCCUCAAAGUUGGGAUUCAACCUUUUUAAUAUAACAUAGCUAAACCUCAAAGAACUAAAUUUAUUUGAGACAAUAAGUAGCCAUCAUCGCUAUAUUUUCUGCAGGUGACACUAGUUGGAGGAUAAUGUACAGUUAGGAAUGGUGGUCCAAUCACAAAGAAUAUAAUGCAGACUGAUUUUGCUUUCACAAAUUCAGAGUUAAGAGUCCCAUCACAAACCGCAAACAGAUAUUUAUGUUGAAAACCAUAUAUCUUUUGAUCGAAUGAAGAAAUGUAGUAUAGAACAUAACAGACAUCACAGGACGAAAAUGGCAGAGUUCUUCUUCUUUAAUAAAAAGCUAUGAAUUUGAUUCACUACUGAAUUCACUUCCAUCUAAUAAAGUAGCCGACAGAAACUAAAAGAAAAGGAAGAUUGCCAGAUACAUAUAUAAAUCUGUGGUAGCAUACAUACAUAGCUAUUGGCAGCAACAAAAAGGCAUAAGCAUAUUCUUCAACCACUUCCACUCUUUUAUUGGAAUUCAACCAUUGGCAGUGGACUUGUAGUGAUAUUCAUCAAUUGUUGAGUAAACUAGACCUUCUGAUUCAAGAGACUCAAUAGCUUCUCUGUCAAGGGACCCAAAAAUCAAGGAUGAAUAUGUUCUGUACAGAGAGAGAGAGAGAGGGAGGGAGGGGGGGGGGGGGGGGGGGGAAACAAGCUCAUUGCGAUGGACUCCCUUCUCCCGUGCACUGAAAUAUUGAAAAAACUUCACUAAGGUCUCAGGCUCUUUAGAUACUUGAAACAAUACAACUCAGGAGAUCCCCGAAACAAGAAAAUAAGAAGAUUUUAUUAUCAAUCGAGACAGGCAACCGUCAUCCACUAUGCCUCACUAAAAUCGCAUAAUGUUAUAUGUCUGCAAGAUACCAAAAGUGAAGCAAAACAACAGCAGCAACAAGAACAACAUGAUACCUUUGCACCAUAACCUACGACAAAAUUUGAAAAUAUGAUGGAAGAAAACCAUUACAAUCACUAGAAAACUAAAAAGCUGAUGUAUAACAAUGAAACUGUCACUGGGUCAAGAAUGCAUAUGAACCAUGUAUCUAUCAAUCACAUUUGAGGUACUUAGCAGCUAAUCGCAUGCGCAUGUUGAUCAUCCGGCAAUAUAUUUUCUCCUAUAUGCACUAUAUAAGCAAAAGCAUCAUAAUGAAUAUCUAAUUCCUGGAAUUUGUUCCAUAAUUUUGCUGGGAGGUAAGCUGAGGAUAUCAAUUUUUGCAAUAAAUUGGCUUGAAAAUAUACUGGUGACUUUUACAGAACCAGUUCAAGAUUUUUUGAGGUUGAGUCAGAUACAAGAAUUAUUUGCAAAUUUCAGGUUUAUUGCUUCUGGAUGUCACGUACUUAUUCUUCAACAUGUGAAAGUUAAAAUUGGCAAAGUUACAUAGUCAAUCAAGAUUGGGCACGGUACGUCUUAAUUAACACAAUCAUUACUUAUCCCUUUCAGUGGGAAAAAAGAAGAAAUAAAGUAGAAAUAAUAAAAUUAAAACAACAUUACAAAUGUACUAUAAUGGCGCCUGUAAUCAAGAGAACAAUUCUAAAUGCUACUACAAAAGUGUACUUACUGAACGAAAACUAAUUAUUUUCCACGAAGUUUACAUAUUAUCAAGAUUGUGGUACUGCUUGCCAGCAGCCCCUGAAACUUGUUUUUCAAAAUAUUGACCGUGAAAAGACUGAAAACCUCCAGAUCUUUUUCAUAUUAUAGAAUGCAUAAACCCCAUCUACAGGUUCCACAGCCUUGAUUGUUCUAAAACUUACAUCAGAAAGACGAGACCCUCCAGAAGGUGUUACGUACCGAUGAUAUUGUGAUACAUAGUUACCAUCUGUAGAACCAAACUGUUCACCUUGGGGGUGUGCUUGAGUGCAAACACAACAAAUCACUCACAAAUAUGUAUGGGAAUUUCUGGAAGAGAAAGAAGAGAAAACUAAUCUUUUAUUAGAUGGAUAAGUAGCUCAUAUAACUCACAGGCUUGGUGGUUGGUGCAGAUAGUCCAAAACCAAUUUAUCUAUUGCCUUGAGCCCAUCCAUGUCGUAUUGUACAGAAAACUGAAAAGGCAAUAAUAUAACCAUCAGUUACUUUAAUUAGGAAAAGUAAGUAAUCAAAAUUGCUUUAAUAAAUAUAGUUUACAUUAUUGGAUGGAGUAGCCUGGAAACCCUUUGAAGGGGUAUUAACAGCAGAAUUUGGUAUGUGCGUAGGAGCUGUGGCUGCAUCCUGCAGCUUCUAAGGAGAUAAGAAUUGUGGGAAAAACAUCUUUAUGAAUACAUAACAGGCUAUUUUACACAAAAACUUGUUAACGGUUAUAAGUAUACCCGAAGCCUGGUGUUGUGGCCAUGGACAUAUACACAUUCAGCAAAGUGAUAUGCAAUCUCGUUAUAGUCUGUCACAGGCCUAAAAAUAACAGCCCAGCAUAAUUAAAUUUCUAUCUAACAAGGAAAGAACUGCAAGGAUUCAAGAAUAAGAUAAAAAGAUUGCAUUAAAAACAUGACAACAGAUAUUUUCUCAUCCUAUGUUGGCUCAUGUUUAUAAUUUUUAUACAAAAAUUUCGAGGACCCACGAGUACUACCCACUUAUCCUUUCUAUUUAUAAUUUAAAACGUUUAUAAACACUUCCCUGCCGUGCUAUUAAUGUGAGAGUUAGAUAAAACUGCUGAUACAUCCUCAUUAUUCAGCUAAAUGCAUUUCACUGUAAGAAUGUUCGCUUAGGUGUUAACUAAUCAAAAGGCAAGAAUGUUAUAAGAUAAUACAGGUUCUUAGGAAUCAUUAGUAUAACCAUGUGGAGAUAGUAUUACACCUUAUUAUGUUAGAUGCUGACGGCCAGAUCAGAACUGCUGAAGUUAUAUUAAGCUCUUGUUUGAGCCCCAUUUUUGGGGAAAGAAUGAAUUUUUGAAUAGUGUAUUGAUGAAAAAUAUGUGAUUAAAAAAUAAGGAAAAAUUUUAGAUUUACAUGCAAUAUUAUUUUAUUGAAAAAUAUGUAGUUGAAAUGAUGUCAAAACAUUGUUGAAAAUGCAUUUUUUUCAAAAGAGUGGGGCUAAAAUAAGCUUUUCCAAAAGAAUAAAACAACUAUCAAAUUUUUUUAAUUAAUUUUCUAAAAUUUCCACAAAAGCUGGUAGAUUCAUCAUUGGGUUGCUUAAAUGCAGAAUACUACUCCCUUCGUCUUAAUUAUAUAGACCGAGUUUUCUUUUUCUCUUGUCCCAAAUAUAUAGGCAUGCUUCCAAAUUUAGAAUAUUUUGUUUUGUUUCUUUAUUAAUAUAUCCUUAUUUAAAUUUUUCCCACUUACUAUGCCAAUUUCUUGAAAUAAUCCAAAUACACACAUUUCCCACUUCUUGAAAACAUGGAACAACUCUCAUUUCUUCUUCUUCAAAUUAAAUUAUUCAAAUUCUUUACUAAUUCCAACAAUAAUUUACUACUACAUGCUAAAAAUUAAAUAGGGGUAAACUAGGAAAGAUUUUGGCAAAAAAGAUUUCUUAAUCUGUGUGAAAAACAAAACAAGCCUUUAUAAUUGGGACGAAGGGAGUAAAUGCUAAUUUUGGAUCAGCAAUAUAAAAACCAAUAUAUCAGCAAAGCCCCAUUUACUCAGGUCUUUUAUGAGUGAAAAUUUUGUACUGCAUUAUGUAUAACACCAUCCAAUUGAAGUCAAGAUAAACACAUCACAAAACGAUAUAUAGUAGCGAAUAACAAAAUUACUAUUUGCUUUAAGGGGACUUCUAAUUCCUCAAUUUGAGCCUCACCAAAUCUAAUGUACAAAAUUCCACAUAUUGUUAUCCAAAAAUAUGAAAUUUUUUCGCAGGUUAAAUAGAGUAGACUAAGAGUAGACUAUGUACAUUAUAGAAAAUAUGCCAUUGGUAAUAUCUUAUUUUCAUCCAGCAGAAUUGUGCCUGCAUGUUCGCUGGGGGGAGGGGAGGGAGAGAUUUAUCGCUAAAAUCCCAGGAUGCACAAUAUCAAGUGUUUUACACACAUAAAUUCAGUAGAAAGCAUGAAGGGAAAAAAAUCUCAAACCUCAAAAAUAGAUUUAUACGAUCCUUACCGGACAGAGUAUACCAUCAAUUGUUUCUUGCCCUGAAAGCCCUUCAGGUGCCCAUGAACCCUUACAUACAUGCCAUUUCUAUUAUAUCAACGUAUCAAAACCAGUUAGAAACAAGUCGAUAUAACCACCAACAGAAAGUAGUAUAUCCAAAAAAAAAGAGUAUUACAAUACUAGCUCCAUUUCCUUAGUAUCAACAGCUUCAUUUACCCUAAAAAUGCACAUAGAGACAAAAUUUAGCUUGUAAAGAAGCCACAAAUUAAAGAAAAAUACGGAAGUUUAAUCAAACACUUCAACUUGUGGAAAAAUCAUAUCAUUGUCUAUCGCCAAUGAGAGGAGAAAAAAAAUGAAAUGUGGAGAAAAAGAUAUCACCAUCUAUGGCAGUCAAUGCGCCCAGUUCCAUCAUCAAGUGCAAACGAAACAUCAGUAAUCCUUUCAGCUUUGUCAUACAGCAUCCCCAACAAUUUUACCUAACAAGACCCAAUCCAAAUAAGUUGAUGAAUCAUAUAAGUGAAAAAAUAAAUGAUCUAAAAAAUUCAAAAAUAUAAUUUUAAGAAGCCCUACAUUGUUCACAUCAACGCCGUCUAUUAGAAAAUUCACUUUGUCAUCACUCGCUUGAAAUGCUUCGCUGAUUUGCUUCACAGUCAAUGGAAGUAAAGACUGUGCGUCACGAUUCUACAAAACAAAAUCCAGAAAGAAACAAUAAGUUACUAAAUAUUUAAGAUUUUAGAGCUGUUUAACUAAGAUAAAUAGCAAAACAACUGUAUGCUCUCAAACUCAAACCUAGAAUCCAGAAAACAACUGUAUGAAAAACUAUUCUCUUGCUAUAAAAUCAAUUUUGCAGGGACGAAAUUCACUUAGGAUAAAAACCUGUUUGGGCUCCAAACAAAGAAAUAAGAAACAAAAAUAUCUAAAAAUAUCAGCCGUUGCCCUGGUAUUUCAAAAAAUUGGAUAGUAUAAAAGAUUUGAAAACCCGUAACUGUAAACAAUACAGAUCUUAGGGUUUGCAGAAAUAAGCAGGGAAUUAAACGAUCAGGGAUUUCCUGCGUUUUACUAACGAUAUAAAUAAUAGAAAUGAAAAGGGUAAUUUUGACUUUUCACGAGCAUACCUUGACGGGAGAGAAGGAAGGAUCGGCAGUUUGGGUGGCCUGAGAAGGCAUGAAACCGCCCCCGGCGAAGGCGGCGUUGCCAUCAAAUUGGCUGUUCUUAUACAUCUCCCUUUGUGCGAGGAAUACCGUAGGAUAAACCCCAGAUUGAAGAUUGGGAAAGGGUAUAUGUUAAGGGUUCCCGCCAUUUUUUAUUGUCCACCUUUUUAAUUUUUGAUAAAUUAAUUGAGAUGUGAAUUGAUAUUAUAACCCCCGUUUGUUUUUAAUUUUUUGAAGAAUGAAAAUGAAAAAUAUAACAGGUGCGAAAUUCAAACAAGAGAUAAAAAUUUAAAUUUAAUGGCCUAAUAUGAUGGAUAACGUUCACAUUUUUGCUACUUGUAUAAUAAUAAUAAUAAUAAUAAUAAUAAUAAUAAUAAUAAUAUUAAUAUUAAUAAUAAAUGUACAUAAUAGAUUAUAUAAUAUGUUGUGGAAAAAAAUAUUGGAUGAAAAGGUCAAUUAUAUUUUAAACUAACAAAUGGUAGAGUACCACGUAGUAUUAUGUAAUUCAUUAUGUAAAUUUAUGUACAUAUAGCAAGAUAUUAAUAAGCAUAUUCAGCACCUAUUUAUAAUCAAUCGAUUGAUAUAUAAUUGGUUCAUAUCCAAUCAAGUCAUUUUUCAUCCAUAUAUUUUUUUAGACUUAUAAAUAUCACUCGCUUAUUCAUCGUUUAUUCAAAUCGGUUAUAAAAAAUUCCCAAUUUCAAUAAAUCGUUAGUAACCUAAGUUCUAAGAAUAAUAUUAUGUAGUUUAAGAUUUGGGAAUCACCGUAGUGGCGGUUUGCGAUGGCGACAAUAGGUUUUGCAAUGUGUAUGGAUGGGGUUGUGACGAUGGAAUUAAUUGUUCUAUUAUAGUAAUAGUGGUUAUAUUAUCACCGCAAUUUUCAUUUGAUAUAUUAUAUUUUAAGUGUAGUUAAGCUCCUCAAACUUUGCUCAUCAUAACAAUUAACUUCUUAACUUUUUUCGUCGUAAUCUUAUCUUCAACAUUUCAUUAAUUAGUACAUUUCGUUCUUUAUGACUAUUUAUAUCAAAAUGUUUAUUUUUUAAAAAAUUGAAUGAAAAAUAAGUCAUUUUACGUCAUUUCAACAAAUUUUUGAACAUAACAUUAUUUUUAAAUACAAAACGUGUCAACUAAUGGAAAGUUUAUGAUAACAAUGGCAUAAAAAUUUAUUCAUGACAUACGUGCUAAUGAGCAAAUAUUAAGAACGUUAAAUGCAAUUAAAAUGUAGUGCAAGAAAUUAAAAUUAUUGUGUGAAUAUAAUUAUCCUUAUAGAAAAUAUAAAUUUAUCAUUUUACCCUAUUGUUUUAGUUUGUCAUGUUGAGUCAAAUUUUUAAUUUUUGGGUUGAGUAACAGAGUAAUGGACCGAUUCUGUCCAUUGUCGUCCUACUACAAUUGACGUGAAAUGUUUAAGACCACACAAAAAAAUUUCCCUAUUUUAAAUAUAGCGACUUUUUAAAUUUUAAUGCAUAGAUUAAGAGGGUGUUUGAGUCACAUUACUUUGGUAAUAAUGCAUUCUUGAAUAGUGUAUUGAUGGAAAAUGUGUGGUUAAAAAAUAAGGAAUUUUUUUUAUUUGUGUGUGAUAUUAAUUUAUUGAAAAAUGUGUGGUUAAAAUGAAGUCAAAUUACUGUUUAAAAAUGUAUUUUUUUUGGAAUAAUGUGGCUCAAAUACCCCUAAAUCUGAACAAUUAAUUAAUUAUAUCUUUUGCAAAUAUAGCUAUAAAAUUUGGGUGAUUUAUAUUGCAUACUACUCAAAACUUAGAAUAGAGAACCAAUAAAAAUACACUAAACUCGAGACAUAAAAAAAACUAAUUUUAUUGAUAAGGAUUAAAAUUGGUAUUUUAAUGGAUGUUUUGAGAAGGUAAAAGCAAAGUCUGGGAAGUUGCACUUAUCAACUCUCUCAAAAUUUGCUACCGAAUGGUACAGAUUUUUUCAUAAUAAAGCUUUUUAUGUUUAGCAAAUACUUAAAAUAGUCAUGUUGGUUGAGAAGGGUUAAUUUCACGAACGGUCACUGAACUUAUCUAAAUUACAAAAUGGUCACUGAAGUUAUAAACUUGUAAAAAUGGUCACUUAACUUACUAGCGCUUUGACUAACGGUCAUUGAAGUUUACAAACUUGUAGAAACGGUCACCAUUAGGACCGUUAUGAUUUUAAUUCAAAUUUAAAGGACCAAAACACGUGAACAUAGACCCUUGAGGACCUCAAGUGCAAAUUUCAAACUUAAAAAACCCCCAAACCCAAACGUAAACUUCAAAAAUAGUGGAGACACAAUAAUGGACGAAAUUUGGGAAAAAAAUCAUGCCCUAAUCAUCCAAUAAAUUGUUCUCAAUCCCUAGGUAAGCUUUCAAUCAAGAACCCAAAUCUUCAAAUCCUCCUUUCAAACCACACAAGAUAGUACAUAUUUCUAUAAUUUUUUCUGUGAAAAUCGAAGAGUGGGGACCAAGAUCUUCUAAAAUUUAUUUGACAUGUUGGAUCUGGAGAAACAAGAUGAAGGUUAGGAGUUUUUUUAUUUUUAUUUUUUUUUACAUUUUUUGUCUAUAUUGUUCGCAUAAAGUAACUUUGGACAGAUUUUGGAGCUACAUUAGUUGUGUCUUUGUGUUGAAAUGGCAUAAAGACUCCAUUAAUUUGAUUGUCUGUUCACGUGAGUUGGACAUUAGUUGGGUCUUCUUCUUUUUUUUUUCUUUGAAACGUUUGUACAGUAAAUUUCAUAAUUCAGUAGGUUCUUACAAAUUUUUAUUUUUCACUAUACUGUCAACUAAGCAAAUUUAUAAUCUCCUAUUGUCUAGGUUAUUUGAACAGUGAUUUGGUAAAGAAGACAUCAUCUUCAAUGAUUCCGAUUAUAGCCUUCGUGAAGAUAACGACAUUCUCUUUGAGGAAAAUGUUACCCAGAAUAUUGAACUCGAUAUGAGGAAUGAGAUAGUGUCGUUGGAAGCAGCUGAUGAAUCUGACAAUUCUGAAUAUGUACUCUCAGAUGACCUUCGAAACAUUCAUUCUGAUAGUGACGAAGAAGUUGUUACAUACCUAGAAUGCUUGAGGUAGGAUUGAAGCUUAGGUCCAAAAAGGAGGUAAAGGCUGUGGUUAAAAACUUCAGCAUUCAUAAUAAGUUUGAUGUGGUCUUUCUAUAUAAUGAUAGAUACAGAUUAGAAGGUCGUUGCAAAGGAAAAAAUUGUCCACGACGUAUUUGGGCUUCACUGUUGGAGGAAGAUUCAUUGUAGCAAAUUAAAUCGUUCGAACCGGACCAUACCUAUAGUAAAGCAUUGAAGAAUAUAAGUAUAUCGCAAGUUGGUUAGUCCGUAGAUACAUUGAGACCUUUACUAUUGUGCCAAAGUGAGAUGUGAAAUUGUUUAAGCAAUUGUUUUGAAAGAGUAUAGUUUAGAGACUAGUAACACAAGGGCAUGGAGGUAUAGGAGAUAUGCUAAGAAGUUGCUUCGAGGAUUGCUAGUUGGGUAAUUUGGUUUGUUGGGUUCGUAUGUAGCUGAGGUUAUGAGAACAAACCCAAGAUCAUCUAUUAUAUUAUCUUUAGAUGAGCUUGUGUUUAAGGCGAUUUAUGUUUGCUUCGAUGCUUACAAAAAGGGCUUUUUGGGUGGUUGUAGGCCCGUUAUUUGCAUAGAUGGGUGCUUCUUGAAAGGCAAUUUUAGUGGUUAGUUACUUGCUGCGAUGAGUAUUGAUAUAAAUGAUGUAUAUUUUUAAUUGCACAUGCUAUUGUUGAAACUGAAAGUAAUGCUAGCUAGUUCUGGUUUUUGAAACUGUUGGAGGAAAAUUUGAUGCUCAAAAAUGCAUAUGGAGUCAGAAUUAUGUUUGAUAGACAUAAAAGGUUGGAGAAUAUGGUGUUCGAGUUUUUUUCUAGCGGUUGAGCAUCGAUUUUGUGUAAGGCAUAUGUACUCCAACUUUUUUCGCAAAGAUUUUAAAGAGUUGAAAGUUAGGAUUUGUUGUGAAGAGCAGCUAAGUCUACCUAGUUGGCUAGUUUACAUAUUAGAUGGACAAAAUUAAGGAAGAGGAGAAAACUGCCUGGGAGUGGUUAUGUGCUAAACUAGUUGAGCAAUGGUCGAAGUCCCAUUUCAUGACGGCUUCCAAAUGUGACAUUUUGUUAAACAAUCUCUACAAAUGCUUUAACAAAUACAUAAAGGAAAUGAGGGGAAAGGAUAUUUUGACUAUCCUUCACUUAAUUCAAAACAAGGUAAUAGCACGGAUGCACAAAUGCUACGAUUUGAUCGCAAGGAGUUUUAGCGAUAUAUGUCCAAAAAUUUAUUUAAAAAAAAUGAAAGUAGUACACGUGAUUCUUUUUUGUGUAAAGCAAUAUUCAAUGGGAAAAUGCAAUCAAGUUUUUGGAUCGUAUUCUGAUGGUCAAUUUUUGGUGAUUUACAAAGGAGGACAUGCUCAUGUAGCAAGUAGAAUCUAAUUGGUAUGCCUUGUCCACACGCAAUAGCCGGCAUCCAUGAGUGGGGUAAGGAUCCUUUGCAAUUUGUGGAUGAGAGCUACAAAGUUGAAACUUACUUAAAAGCUUAUGAAAAUUGCAUAUGCCCUAUGAAUGGACAAAAAAUGUGGCCUUCAAGUGGCUUCGACCCAGUGAAACCCCCAACUUGGGUGACCAAAAAAAGAGGUAGGAAGCAGAGAAAGAGCCGAAGAGGGGUUGAGAAAGCUGUGUUGUCCAAAGAGAAGAUGAAGAAGAUUGAUAGGAGAGGUGAUGGCAAGAAGAGAUUGAAAUGUAGUAUUUACAGUCAAAAGGGGCACAAUAAAAGAUACCACUCGAACCAUGCUUAGCAGGCAAGCUACACAACAAAUGAGGUAUAUACUAAGUCAUAAUCAUAUAUGUAUAUCCUAUUUUUGUUUUAUUUAUUAUGUUGGCUGACAUCCUUUUUCAUAAAUUGUAGGAGGACAUAAAUGGUUCGAGGACAUGGGAAGCUGCAAGAGCUAAUGUUGGACAACAAUUUGCCUAUUCACAAUCGACUACUACUAUUGGAAUUGAACAAGGUAUAUUCCGGCAUUUUCUUUCUCGGCCUACUGAGAAUGCUAGACAAACAGGUUUGGUAGUUCGAUGUCCUUCGUACCAAAACCAAGAACCAAUUUCAAUAAAAAGGGAUCUCUACCUCAGUGAAGGCCAAGAGCCAGUGGAAGUUCGAACUCAACGGUAACUCUUAGUAAAGCAUGGAACAACUUGAUGACAAAAUGACGCCAGUUGAAUUCUAUUAUAUUUUUUUGUCAAUGAACUCUAUUUUGAUUGCGACUAUCUAGUUUUUGUCAUUGUAAUUUUUUUGGUGAAAUGUGGAAGAUUGUAAGUCGUUGUAUGUGAUAAGCGAUAUUUCACUCAUAAUAUCAAUGCCAUUAAGCUUGUUGUUUAGUUAAUUUUUACGAGUUUUGGCCAUCUUAACAUGUGGUUUUAGUGUUAUGUGUUAGGUGUUGAAGUACGGAAAAGAACGAACAAAGGAAGCCAAGUUAAUGAAGAAGAAGAAGAAGAAAAUGAGGAAAUGAGACACACCCAGUCAAAACAGCAGAGGAAGUAGAGUACUAGGCGCCCCAAAGCAAAAAAAAAAUAGUAGAAACGCUGGCGCUGCGAUGCUAGCAAAUGGAUUCAUCUCGGCACUAGUGAUGGGCACCACAGCACCGUCGUGUGGCUGUAGGGUUUUUAAGGUUUGAAAUUUGUACUUGAAGUCCUCAAGUUUCUAUGUUCACGUGUUUUGGUCCUUUAAGUUUGAGUUAAAAUCAUAACGAUCCUAAUGGUGAUCAUUUCUGCAAGUUUGUAAAUUUCAGUGACCGUUAGUGUAAGCGCUGGUAAGUUAAGUGUUCGUUUCUGCAAGUUUGUAACUCCAAUGACCGUUUUGUAAUUUUUAGGUGAGUUCAGUGGCCAUUUGUGAGUUAACCUGUUUGAGAAUGAAAAGUUUAAGUUCUAAGAACAAUCCAAACCAAGCCUAAUUCUAUUAAUUCGACAUAUAUAAUUAGUGAAAAAAAAAAAUGCAACGGAUCUAAAAUAGGAGAAAAGCUAAAGGAAUUGCGCCCUUGUUUAUAAUAAUUUUUUAUCAUUCUUCUUUUCCUCAUACUCAUUUUCAACCACACAUUUUCACAAUAAAAACAUUUUUAGUGUAGAUCCGAAACAUUUUCUUACUUUUUAACUAUAUAUUCUCUUAAAAAUUAUUAUUCAAAAAUUCAUUCUUCCCAAAAAAAAAAAAAAAAAACCUGUAAAAAUAGUAGCUGAAGGUUUAACGUCAAAUAGGCUCACGAAAUGUGAAUUAUAUAAUAUUAUCCAACUUUAAUGAUUGUUUUAAUAUGAGCACAUUGACAGAUACCAUUUCUUGUAAUUGCACGAUUAGUCAUAGCAGUAGAAGCAAUCCGUUUCGUGCGAGUAGUCGUUAACAAUUAAAAAAAGGAUUAGACGAUUGUGUAAAGAACGGACCUCUUGAGACAAAGUCUCAAAAGGGGGUGUUUUAUUGACGAUGAUUUACAAUUGAAAAUAAACAGAAUGCCUCCAAGGGGCGCAAGCACACGAGUACUAAAAGAAGUGUUUAAAUUUAAGCUAAGAAAUUAAAAUUACAUAUUCUCUGUUUGAGAGUGUUUGAUUCUCCGUCCUUUCGUCUAUGUCUUCUCUUCCUUUUUAUAUUCCCUUGAUGACUUUCUCGUGACAAACCGUUUGGAAACUGCUUGAUUGUUUUAUAACUACCAUUUUUCUUUAUGGUGGCUAAUUUGUCGUGGAACUGUCGUCUCUAACUGUUGUUAUUACUCUUUGUUAUUCAACCGCCUUCAACUAGGCUCCUUGAAUCAUGGAAUGUGAUAAGAUUACUCAAUAACUGCUUCAAUAACUGCUAUUCUGGACAACCAUAAUACUUUAUGUUUGCUAAGAUCCUGGGCGAUUCAAAGGUUUGGGCGAGAACGGGGUCAUCGCUCUAGGCGACCGUAAGGUACUCCAUUCACUCAGAUUAUGGGAGUCUUGCAAGCUUCGGCGAUGAUGUUACUGUGUUCGUGGGCUUCCACUGCAUUUAUAAAUAAUCAUGUUUGGACCUUUAUCCUGGACUCCCCAAUUGGGCUUCACUCUUUGGGCUAUUUGAUUUGGGCUGUACUUUUAGUGUGUCAACAAUUACCCCCCAAUAUGGCAGAAUUAAUACCAAUUAUUAAUCUUUGUCAUAUUCACUUUGUAUUCUCCAGCAACAUUUGAAAUUCCCAAGAAUUUCAAUAAUUAUUUCCUUUUAUAGCCUGAAAAGGUGCAACGUUGCAAACCCUUAUAAACCCAAAAGACACGCCAUUUCAUCGCACCACUAAACCUCGUUUCUAUAUUUUGCGCUUCCUCCUCACUAUUUUACAGUUCAUCUUCUUGCUUCUCUACUACGUUUCUCAGGCAAAUCUUAACAAAACUGUACUUUGCACCUAAUGGCAACUUCACAAACUCAAUCUGAUGAUUCUUUUAGUUUCGAAGAUUUCCAGAAAAUCCUUACUAGGCCGUAUGUAAAUCCAAACUUCCUUGCACCGGCCAAUGCUGACCUCAAUGAAUUUUAUCUGGGUCCAUCAUUCAAUAAUACCGAAGCCGUUGGACAAGUGGCGGUGGGCCAACUGUUCCCUUGCACUCAAGACCUCCGUUCCUGAACUCUCUGCCAUUGAGGCCGAUUCGCGAAAAAGGUAUUUGCACUUUGCCCAAAGCUGAUGUUAUUUUUUGUAGAUGGCAUGCACGUCUUGUGAAUCAUGCCAUACCAAGGCGACUUUUGAUCGUGCUAGAAUUUCAGACUUAUUAGAAAUCGCUCUUCAACCCCCAAUUUUCGACCCAGGGUUUUUUUCGAUUGCUUUGAGUUUUUGGUCUUCUGAAUAUAAUGCCUUCGUUUUCCCUCUUGGUCCCAUGUCUAUUACUUUAAGGAACGUUGGAGCCCUAGUAAAUCUUCCACCUUUGGGCGAUACCAUCUUUCCUGGUAUCUUGAUUUCCAGUGUUGGCCCGAAAUUUGACAAGAAACUUACGGAGUCCUAUUCAAGCAUGCAAGACUUUUAUAAUCAUUCAAGCGCUGAACCUUCCCACAUGAGCGUGUGGCCUUUCUUCAAAUUUGGCUCUAUAAACAUAUUCUCUGCGUGCUAAGUAUGAAACCUUCUAUGAGCUACUUGUCCAUAGCGCAUGAAUUGGUGCGUGGUAGGCCUUUAAACUUAUGUUCCUUCUUUUUAGCUGCCCUUUAUAGAGGCAUGACUUCCCUUCAAUCUCAACUGAAGAAUGGUGCAUCUCCCACUGCCAGUGGCCCCCUUCGGUUUACUCAACUGUGGUUGAGAGCAUACUUUCCACCACUUGGUGCUCCAUCCACUUCCCUUCGUUCUGCUAGCUGCUAUGGGCUAGCCAUUGACCCAUUGAAACCUGUAAAUAUGUCCAGUAUGGAUAUUUUUUCAUUCUUUUAUACCUUAAAUUCGAUUCCUUCCUUCUUUCCUUUUCCUGCUCACUUAACUCCAAAUUAUGUGCAACCUCUAUCCACCCUGGAUAGUGCGAGCGCCUCUCUACUUGUUUAGGUUCAGUUUUUGGUUGGGAGGGAAUUGUUCCACGAUAUUUUAAUUGGAACCAAUGCCAAUGCUGGGGUUGAAAUAUAUGCUCCCCAAUUUUUUGCUCGCCAACUUGGUUUUGGCCAAAUUUGGCCUGUUCCUCCUUGCUACUCCAAAAAUUUGACAGAUCGUUUUCACACUAUUAAUAAGGCAGAAGCAGAAGCUGUUGAUGCUCACAACACUCUUUUGACGAGCAAAUUUUAAUUAGCCCCUUUCAAUUCUAGCUGUGCCGUCCAUCCUCUUUUUGAACAGCUCUGGCUAUCAGUAAAACGCAGAUUAUUUGCAACUGAUGCUAAUCGUGCCUUCCAUUUACUGGAUCAGCCAGACACUUCCUCUGCUUCUCCUAUUUUGGUCACCCCUAUGUCCAUUAGGAAUCCUUCCUCUCCUGCUCAAGCUAAACAUCCUAUCCGUCCAUCUGCUUCUCCAUCUGCCAAUGCUACUGCAGCUACAUGUGCCUUAAGCCGCAAACGGCCAGUUUCAGCAUCUCCCAUUUAGCGGGAUGAUAAUGAUGAUGAUUAUGACACUCCUCUCAUCCUUAGGAGAAAGGUAAUUGAAUUUGUUUAUUCACAAACAUACUUUUCUAUGUACUAAUGGUUUACCUGAAUUUCUCAGAAAAGUUCAGCCUCUCCUUCGAAGGCUUUGGUUUUGACAACUCCUGCUUCAUCAUCUUCUGUUGAAGCUGCUUCGUCCAAAUCAGCUGAUGAAGGGACUAUGCUUAAAGAGAAACCCUUAGUCCCGAAAUCUUCAUCACAACCAAUAGAAGGGCCACCUUUUUCCUAGGGCGCCGGACCCCCAAAUGUUGAACCAGAAGGGAAUACAUUUUUUGAUGUUUUACCUUUGCUUGUGCUACUGGUUUCUGAUUCGUUGCUUCUUGAAUUAUGAAGAGGCUCCCAUGGGCCUGCCCGUUGUGGCAGAGUCUUCUCGCCCAGAUAAGGGGAAGUCUCCACAGGUGGUGGAGCCAACUGGUGAUAUGCCUGAACUUUCCAAGAUUGCUGAUGAGGUAACCUUUUGCCUCACUUUCAUUUUCGCUUCGUUUAUUGUAAUGAAAGUCCUCAAUGUUGGCAUUUUUCUUUGCAGGGUGCAGAUGACAUUGUGCGUUCCAUUCAGAACUUGUUCACUUCCUGGGGACAAGUCAAGACGUCUCGCCCUACUUCACCAGUCAUCCUUCUGCUUCAUCUUCUGCUUUUUCGGAAGAAAAUAUGAAGUCUCUCAAGCAGUCGGUACUUGGGUAUGUGUCUUUUAUAGACAUGGAUAUCGACUAGGCUAGUGCUACUAAACAUAAGGAAAAGUUUGAGCUAUUGAGUGCGAAAUUGACGUAAGCACUUACACUUCCGUCGCUCAAUGUUUCUGCUGACUUUAAAGCGACAUUGAGAGUUGUCCAUUCUGACAUCCUCUCCUUGCUAGCUAAGAAUGUUGAACUGAAGGCUAGGAGUACUCAAUAUCUUCGUGCUGUAUUUGAAAGAGAAUCUUUACUUCUAGAGAUUAACAAAGCCGAGGAUGAAUUGAAAAAAAUCUCUUCCGACGUUAUGAUCGAAGACUCUUUGAUGGUAAGCUUGGCUGCAGAGAUGAAGGAGCUUCAAGCAAAGGUGAACGACUGUAGGGCGAGAAUGGCUGCUAAAAAGCAUAAUGCUUCCCAAGGAAUUGAACGAACCAAGUCUCUGGUUGAACAGUAUAAAAAGAUGGAGGUUGAUGACGAUUUUGUAACUGAAUUAAAUGUCGCUUCUUCUCAACAGAGCGAAGAUUUGGGAAGACUUAGGGAAAGAAUACGUUUGGCUUGGGGUGAAUUGUAAUUAAGACAUCCAAUACCUUAACUUUCCUUUUGUAAUUCCCAACUAAUUGCCAUUGCUAAUUUUGAAUAUAAUAGCAGCUAUCAUCAUUAAUGAAUGACUAUUUUGUCUACUUGCAUAUUAAUUGACGUUGUCCUUAAUCGUCAACCCCCAAGAAUUUAAUUACUUUAUGCUAAGAUCCAUGUACAUUCUUUCUUGGUAUUCCCGUUUCUUUUCUCAAGACUUUGGGCCAUUUGAUUUCAGUUAUUAGGCACGAAUGUGGUCGUUCAUAUUCCGUCUUUUCACCUUCAUGCCUCUAUAAAUGCGCAUGUAUUUCGUACUUAUCAUUUUCAUUUCCAUUCUUUUCUCCAAAAACUAAUUUGCUGCCAUAGUUUGACAUCCCAACAAUUGAUUCAAAAUUUUCGUCUUCCAUAGAAAUUGAUCAUUUGAUCCGCCCAUUUUGCUAUCUGUCUCGAUGUCACCUUUGGUAUGGGAGAUAUAGGAAAUAUUCUUUGGCCAGCAAAGGUUUUCCCAUCGUCUCCAAGUUCUUUAUAAGGAGUUCAAUUAUGGAAGGCGAUUUUUGAGGAUGCCUUUCAAGCCACUUUGCUUGCUAAGAGUGCUUCUCAGUCUCCUUGCCCGUUAUUGCAGCAAUACGAUUAGGCAGGUGAUUUGAGGGUGUUUUUCUUCCUUUUUGCUUGUUGAGAGUGCUUCUCGGCCUCUCUGCUUGCCCUUGCAGCAGUGCGAUCAGGACGACAAUCAAGGCUGGUUCACCCUUUUACUUGGCGAUCGAUCGAAAAAUUAGUUUGCUCUCAAUUGUAGCUCAUAGAGCAUUUAGUAUUUUGUAUCUCACAAUUUAUAAUGAAUAUUUGACAACAAAGAAAUUUAUUUGAACGUAUUUCGUUCUUGCCUUAUUUAUCUACGAUCAUUCAAUGCAAUUAUAUUGAUUACGCUUUUAUUUGUUUACUUUCCCAUAAGGAAGGAACAUACUUUUUUAAAUAUUUGCCAUUAAUGAACCUCAUGUGUUUGGUGCCAUCUAAAUCUUCUAAAUGAUAGGCUCCAUUAGGCAACACACUAUUUACUUUAUAUGACCCUUCCCAAUUGAGUGACCACUUGCCAUACUUUGGAUCCUUGCUAUCCAAAGGGAGUAUUGUUUUUCAAACCAAUUCGUCCAGGCUAAAUGACUUGGCUAUAACUUUUUUUAUUAUAAAACUUAGCCAUCUUUUGUUUUUGAACUUGCAAUCUAUCUAGGACGUCAAACUUUAAUUCGUCCAACUCUAAUAAGUUUUGAACUAAUGAUUCGGUAUACUCACCAUCACUUAACUUAUGUUGCAAACACACUUUGACUGAUUGCACAUUGAUUUCCAUAGGCAAAAUGGCCUCCUGUCCAUAAGUAAGUUGGAAAGGAGAAACUUUGGUACUUGACCGAGGCGACGUCCUAUAAGCCCAUAAAGCCUUGUUUAGACAUUCGUGUCAAUUUCUGGCAUUUUCAUCUAUCAUUUUUCUUAUGAUAUUUUUUAGAAUCUUAUUAGAAGAUUCUGCCUGUUCGUUGGAUUGAACGUAAUAUGGUGUGGAGUUCGCUAACUUAACUCCAAACUCGCUCAAGAAUUUCUUCACUUGAUCUCCAUUCAAAGAAGUUCCGUAAUCUACCAUCAAAGUUUGUGGAAUCCCAAAUCUAUAAAUAAUAUGAUCACGGAUAAAUUCUAUGACACUCUUUUGGGUGAUCUCCUUUAAAGGUAUCGCUUCUACCCAUUUAGUGAAAAAAUCAGUUGCAACUAUAACAAAGGUAUGUUGCUUGGACGAUGGGGGAUAAAUCUUCCCUAUCAGGUCUAUCACCCAACCCUUGAACGGCCAGGGUUGAAUAAUUGGUGUCAUCUCUCUCGCUGGCGCCCUUUGUAUUGGACCAUGCUUUUGGCAUGCUAGAAACUCUUCGCAUAUUGAACACAUGAUUCUCCCAUCUUGGGCCAAAAAUAUCCAUUCCUAAUAAUUAACCAUCUCAUCUUUUGGCCAGCUUGAUGAGCUCCACAUAUCCCUUCAUGCACUUCAGCCAUGAUUGUUUUGGCUUCUUGCAAACUUACACAUUUUAGUAAUAUACCAUCAGAGCAAUUCUUAAACAACUCUUCAUCUAUCAAUAUAUAGUUUAGUAAACACAACUUCAUUUUUCUACUACCUCCUUCAUUAGGUUCUUUAAGGAACCUUUUAAUUUCUGCCCUCCAGUCUAUUGCAUCUCCAUCUUGUAUGCAAUGAGUUUCAAUCCUUCUCACCCUUCUUUGGACUACGGGCAAUAUUACUCCAUAUUCACAAGUAGAUUUCCAAUUUAAAGCCUUUGAAUACCCUGAGGCCAUCUCGGCCAACUCAUUUGCUUUGUCAUUAUACAUCCUAUUAACACAUUGAAGUUCUACUUGGUCGAAUUCUUCCAAUAAUUCUUGGGCGAUUUCAUAUUGACUUAUAAUGGAAUCACUUUGGCAAUUAAAAUCACCGAUCAAUUGGUGAAUUACCAAUUGAGAAUUGCCUCUAACAAUCACAUUCUUUAUCUCCAUAUCUAUCAUUAAUUCUAAGCUCACGAUUAAAGUUUCAUAUUCGGCUUGAUUGUUGGUGCACAUCCUAUCCAAAGUGAAUGCGAACUUGUAACAAAUUCCUAAAAGAUUUAUCAAUGCUACUCCUACUCCUGUACCUUUAGAGGUUUUUGACCCAUCAAAACAUAAAACCCAUGGUUUUAAUUCGAAUGAAUCGAUUUCUAAUUCAAUUUUUUCAGGCAUGUCAAGGCAUGGAUGAUCUGCCAGAAAGUUAGUUAAAGCCUGAUUUUUUAUUGCCUUUUGGGGUAUGUAUUGUAUUUCGAAUUCUGAUGACGCUAAAGUCCAAAGGCCUACCCUUAGGUGUAAAAUAGGGUGAGAGAACAUAUACUUAACCAAAUUUACUCUAAAAAUCAAAUAAAUGGUUACGGGCCGUAAAUAAGCCCUUAAUUUCAUACAUGUGAAAUACAAUGCAAGACAUAAUUUUUCAAUGAUAGAGUAAUUACAUUCACAUUUUGUUAAUCGUCUACUCAAGUAGUAAAUCGCUCUUUCUUCACCAAAUUGGUCUUCUUGCGCGACAAUUCCAGCUAUUGAUUCUUAUUCAGCCGAUAUAUACACUUUCAUUGGUCAUCCUUGGAUUGAUGACACCAACACUGGUGGAUUUGAUAAAUAUGUCUUUAGACUUUCAAAAGUCUUUUGAUGCUCUUCUUUCCAAACGAAUUCGUCCUGAUUUUUCAACUUUAAAAGCGACGAAAAAGCUUUAGUUCACCCUGCACAGUUGGAAAUAAAGCAUCUUAGAAAGUUUACUUGCCUUAGAAACAUUUGCAAUUUUUUUUUUAUUAUUAGGUGGUUUGGCCUUUAAAAUGGCCUUCACUUUAUUUUUAUCAAAUUCAGUCCCCCCAAGAAAUCAAGGAAGUUUCUAGCAUUAACACCAAAUACACAUUUCAAGGGAUUCAAUUUUAGUUUAUAUUGCUUCAUUCGCUCAAAUGAACAUCUCAAUUGUUCAAAAUGGUCCUCUUCUUUAAUGGAUUUGACCACUAUAUUAUCUAUAUACACCUCAACAAACUUGCCUAUCAUAUCAUGAAAAAUCAAGUUCAUUGCCCUUUGAUAAGUCGUUCCUGCAUUUUUCAGGCCGAAAGGCAUAACUACCCAUUCAAAACAUCCUAGAGAUUCAGGGCAUUUAAAGGCAAUUUUGUGUAUAUCUUCCUCAGCUAUAUAAAUUUGAUUGUAUCCUGAAUGCCCAUCCAUGAAGGAAUACAUUACGUGUCCGGUAAUCGAGUAUACUAAAGAAUCUACCGUAGGCAUUGGAUAUUCAUCUUUGGGUGUCACUGUGUUUAGGUUUCUAAAGUCUAUGCACACCCUUAAUUUACCAUUCUUUUUUAACACUGGCACGAUAUUGGACAACCGCUCGACAUAUCUGGCUGUUCUAAUAAAGUCUGCUUUUAAUAAUUGCUCUAUUUCUUUCUUAAUCUCAGGAAGUACAUUAGGAGCAAAGCGCCUAGGAGAUUGUUUAUAAGGUUUAAAAUUUGGCUUGGUUGGUAAUCUAUGUUCCAUCAAAUCUCUAUCUAAACCAGGCAUAUGUUUAUAUUCCCAAGCAAAACAAUCUUUAUAUUAUUUUAAUAAAGCGAUUAAUUUAUCACUAACCUCUUGAUCGAGCAUCUGGCUGACGAAUGUUGGGCGAUCUUCCCCUUCAUUGCCAAUAUUCACUUUAAUCAGAGGGUCUUGUGUUUGAGCGUAUCCAGGCUUGGUGAUCCUCAUUACUUCAUCGUCCAUUUCCCUUAUAGGCACUUCUUCUUCUAAACAAUCCACCUUAUUGACUUCUUGAACAAUACUUUGUUCCAACUCGAACACUGCCAAUUUGUCUCCCAAUGCUUUCAAGGCUUCUUCUUCUUUUGUCUUGUCUUUACAUUCUUUAUUGAAAGCCAUUAAUUUGGCUUUGAAGGUCUGAACAUCGGCUAUUUACCUUUGUUGCUUACAACUCAUUUAAAACUCCUUGAUUACUUUUUUGUCAAUUAUUGGCUCUUCUAGGGCCACUAUGUUUGGUCUCAUUUGACUGAACGUUUCAGUGAGUGCAUCUACUGAAAAUGGAUCUUCGCUCUGUGCAACAAUUUAAGUUUCUUCUCUAUCUUGGACUACUUUGGCAAGUCCGUAAUUUCCUUCGUACAUGAACCUUUCCACUGAGUUUGCUUCUGUGACAAAAGGUUUAUGAUCUGCCUGCACCACUUCUGCUUCACCCUUGUCAUUUCAGAAAACUAGGCAUUGAUGGAGCGAUGAAGGUAUGCAGCGACUUCCGUGUAUCCAAUCCCUUCCUAAUAACACAUUGUAACUAGUAGGACCAUCUAUUACGAAGAAGACUGUGGUCCUAGUAGUUGUCCCUACAGUUAUGUCCAAUGGCAUAACCUCUUUAACUGAAGUUACUCCUCCAUUGAAACUUGUAAGAAUGACUUCUGUUGGAAUCAUAUCACUUUCUGUCUUUGCAAAUUUCCUCAUCAUCCUAGAUGGAAUGGUGUUUAUAGCUGCUCCAUUAUCGAUAACUACUUUCGCCACAGGUAUACCGUUAACUAAACCCUUAACGUACAAUGGUCUCAAGUGUUUAGUUAACUUCAUGGCUGGUCUCUUAAAAAUAACCUUUUUGGCAGCAUCUAUUUCCACUUCCUGCUUGUUCUCUAUUGAAUUAUCCUUUUGUGAUAAGUCAACAUGCAGUAUGUCGCACUGAGCUUCCGCUUCCUGAAUUCCCUUUUUAUUAUUUUCUAAUGCUUUUUCUUCGGUUACCCAACGUGUGGGAGGAGGCAAUAUUCUUGGAGGUGACUCAUACUUUUCAGAGCGAGGUACUCUUCUUUUUCUCUUGGGUGUCUCAUACAACACAUAAUAAUCCAAAAAACGUCCAGAUGGUUCUCCCAACAAAUCCACUUCAAGAACGCCUUCUCUAUGUAGUUGCUUCAAUAGGGUAUUGCGCGAUACUCAUCUCUUUUUUCUUUCUACUUCCAGAUUAAUUUCCUCUUCGAUGUCCGUCAUACCAUCAUCAUCUUCAUAAUUGUAGGCUCAUCUAGAAGUUUGGCCUUCUUCACAUUCCAGCACACAUGCUUCUUCUUUGUUAUCCUCCCUUUCUUCUUCUUCUUUCUCUUUGUUCUUGAACUCAUUGGCUAGUAAAUAGUUAUUAGCCAUGAUAGGAGGUAACGUACCGAACUGAAUAGUAAGGGGUUGAUCUGGAUCUUCUUUACCCUUCUGUCUCGCUCAAACUUCGAUCUCCUAGAAGAACUCUCUGGUAAUUCUUCCAUCGAUUCACCUGUACCAGUCUCUUCACUGUCUUCGAAAACAUUUUGAUUGGCUACCUCGAGUAGUUUAGGCACCUUAGAACGUGGCACUCCCUGUUGUUGCCUCAUUAUUCAUCCAUAAUUCCGUUGAAAACGCCUUUGUUGGGUUCUAGUCAUCUCGUUAAAGGGUAUCACCCUUCCUGCAUUAUACUGGAAUGAAUGUCAUGCAUUUGGUUGGCAAGGUUGCGGCCUGAAUGUUCUCCCAUUAUUUAUUGACUUGAACUGCCUCUCAAAAGGCGGUCCCUCAUAGAAUGAUGUGGGAAAAAAUGAGGGCGAUGGUAAUGCUGCCAUAUACCUAGUUUCUCUGUAUUUGCACUCACCUCUCCUUUACAUCUUGCACACAGGACGUCUUCAUCCUUUUUAGGCCUCUUCCCUUUGAUACGUUCAAAGACACUGGGGUGUGGCCCAGUGUCCUCCUCUCUGUCUUCUAUAACCAACUUCAAUUUUGGCAGCUUGUUUUUGAAAUCAGUCAUCACCAUGUUCACUCUAAGUGGCUGUAGAAAAGGGUUUUCAUCCACUGCCAUCUUCUUUUUAUUCUCGAACGUAAUUCGUCCCGAUUCAAUGGCGUCCUGUAACACAUGGCGAAAAACCAAACAAUUGUUAGUCAAAUGUGACCAUGCAUUAUGCCAUUUACAAUAUUUUUUACCCUUGAUUUGUUCAGGACUUGACAACUUAUAUUUAUCGCUCAACUUUAUCUGUCUAUCCUUAUAUAGUUUAUCAAAUAUAAGGUCAGCUUUGGUUACAUCGAACAAGAACGUUCUAACUUUUUUGUUUUCAUCCUUUAUAGGCUCAUCCUUGCCUGACGAUCUAGGUUUAACCAUUAUAGGACAAGUAUACGCGUCUCCUUUGAUUAAUUCGGCCAACACAUUUCGAUUUGAUCGUAAUACUCGUCAUUAAUGGUAUGAACAUCAAAAUUUGGGUCUCUAUAAUAAAUUCCCUUGCUAGAAUUUUUUAUUUGCUCUUCUUCUCUUAUUAAUCGUUCAUACCUAAUCACGUUUGCGCUCAAUUGAAAAAUAUCAGGAAAUUUCCUAUCUUGGAAUUUCUUUUUCAAAUCAAAACUUAGACAACUUUGAGUGAUUUUGACAAACUCCUUUUCGGGCAAAUGUGCAAAACAUUUACUUCUUGCUGUCUUGAAUCUUUGAAGGAAACCUUCUGCCCAUUCGUUUGACAUUUGAUGUAGAUUCGCCAAAUCGAUCAAAGUAACUUCAUACUCAAUCUUAUAAAACUGAGCAUGGAACAAUUGCUCCAAUUGUUGCUAUGUUUAAACAGAGUUCGUUGACAAAUGGAUGAACCAGGAGAAAGCUAAUCCUGUUAAUGAACUAGGGAACAACCUCAUCUUAUGGUAGUUGGUCACUUCACCACUUUGCAGUAUGAAUCACCCUAUGUGUUCUAGGGUAGACAUCUCUCCUAAAUCGGUAAAUAAUGAGAAUUCUGGCACUUUAUACCCUCCAGGCCAUGUAUAUGCUUGGUCUACUCAAUCAGGAUAUGGCUUUGUGUAAGUCGGCCUAAUGACAGGAUGUACCGCAAAAUCCAUUUGAUCAUGUACUAUUUCCAUAAUUUGAUUCCUCAACAUGACGUUGGGGUCAUAUGGAAUUCCUACAGGUUGGUUAAUCGAUUGAUUUGCCUGAGGCCUGAUGUUUGGUCCUUGGUUGGCAACAAAGUUGCCAUGAUUUGGGUCAUUGUUACCAUUAGCCUGAAUAUUUAUUCCAUCAUUAACACGUGGGGUAUUCUGUCCAUUAUUUAGGACAUUGUCUCUUACAUUUAGGUUACCCCCCAAGUUAGAUGUACCAUUACCACUAUUCUGAUUUGGCAUUAUACCAUCCCCUGGUUUGAAGUAGACGGACCAAAAGGUGGUUCUAUCCCUUGAUUUGGACUUAGGGCUGGAGAAUUAUGUCUUACAAUUGUCCUAGCUUGAAAGUGACUUGCAAUAGGCACAACUGGCUGACAAAUUUGGCCUACUAACUUAUUCAUUAUUUCAUUUAAUGUAUUCAGUUGUUUGGCCAUGAUGUCAUAAUGUGCGUUCUCAUUCUGGGUAAAUCUUUCCAUAUUAUGAAUAUUUCGUAGAUUUACCUGUUCAACGACAUCUUGUGUGAGUUCUCCAAGCAAUGCAUGCAUGGUUUGAGGACUCAAUUUUGUCAUUAGUUCGUAACGACUGUGACUGCUCUGACUCUGUCCCUCUGUUCGUGCAGAGCUUCGCUGCUCCUCAUAUCUCUCGAUCACAGACUGGACUCCUCCCUGACUUGCUGCUUCCUUAUCAAAUUUGUGAGGCAUAUUGUUUCACUUUUUGUAUCCUCAACACCAAACACCAAGGUCCCACUGGGCGUGCCAAAUUGUUUCGCGCGAGUAGUCGCUAACAAUUAAAAAAGGGAUCAGACAAUUGUGUAAGGAACAGACCUCUUGAGACAAAGUCUCAAAAAUGAGUAUUUUAUUGGCGAUAAUUUACAAUUGGAAAUAAACUGAAUGCCUCCAAAGGGCGCAAGCACACGAGUACUAAAAGAAGUGUUUAUAUUUAAGCUAAGAAAUUAAAAUUACAUAUUCUCUGUUUGAGGGUGUUUGAUUCUCCUUCCUUUCUUCUAUGUCUUCUAUUCCUUUUUAUAUUCCCUUGAUGACUUCCUCGUGACAAACCGCUUGGAAACUGCUUGAUUGUUUUAUAACUAUCCACUUUCUUUAUGGUAGCUAACUUGUCGUGGAACUGCCGUCUGUAACUGCUGCCAUUACUUUUUAUUGUUCAACCGCCUUCAACUGGGCUCCUUGAAUCGUGGAAUGUGAUAAGAUUACUCAAUAACUGCUUCAAUAAUUGUUAUUCUGGACAACCAUAAUACUUUAUGUUUACUAAGAUCUUGGGUGAUUCGAAGGUUUGAACGAGAACGGGGUCAUCGCUCUGGGCGACCGUAAGGCACUCCAUUCGCUCAGAUUCUGGGCAUCUUGCAAGCUUGGACGAUGAUGUUACUGUAUUCGUGGGCUUCCACUGCAUUUAUCAAUAAUCAUGUUUGGACCUUUAUCCUGGAUUCCCCAAUUGGACUUCACUCUUUGGGCUAUUUGAUUUGGGCUGCACUUUUAGUGUGUCGACACAAUCAAAUUUUUCCCUAAAUUUUCAUACGACCUUCAUUGAACAAUCCAUCACUUCUAGUUUCUUAGCAUCAAUCACAAAUUUGAACAACUUGUAUAGUUUGAAAUUGAUUGUACAAGGACUUGGUCCAAAUCUUUAUAGAAGUUCAGAAUUAAUUGGGAACUAAUGGCCAUUUCCUCAAUAAUUUAAUGUUCAACUUUGUCCUCCGCGAACGAAUUUUUUUACCUCAUAAUUCAAUCAUACUACAUGUACAUGCUUUUUAAUAUCAUGGUUGACAUUGUGCCACAUGAUUGAAUGAUUUUUUUUUUUUAAAUACACUUUCCCCACCUAACAUUUUUUGAAUUCCAAUAGAAUGUAUACAUAGACGUCAACUAUGGAAUGUACACUUAACAUUAAUCCUCAAAAUUUUAGUGUUGUGAAAUUUGUGAUGCCAUUCGAUUUCUGAUUCACACGAGAGAAAGAUUUCGACUCUAUGUUGUGAUUCCAAGCCUUUUCACUCUCACUAUUACAAGUCUCAUUUCCCCACUCUCCUUCAUCUCCAGGUCCUUUAUUUCGAACACACACACGAGCAUGCUUUGAUGCUUAGAAUGGAAAAGGUUACUAGCUUACUGUUCCUGCUCACAAAUAUUUUAUAAUCUCAAAAUUUUUUAUUUUUAAUAUUACUUCAGAGAUUAAUUAUGUAAAUGUACGAGGGGAAGUCUUGAAUUUUGUAAUGCUCCUUAUCUCAGUUAUUGUAAAUUCUCUUAUAUCACGACUUCACAAAAUUUUUAUAGUUCAUAAUUAUCCAGAACAAUUAAGCCCAUGUCUGGGAAUAAAUAAAUUUGAAUUAAUAGGAAAAAUCCGACUGUUGGUCAAAUAUUUAUUCCAACAAAAACCAGACUCCUUUUCAGACAAUUACAGGGUCCAUAAGUCAUUGUUUGAUCAAUUACCUAUUCUGCCCUUGUUUUCGUUCAUUUUUAGAUACAAUAAGGGGUGACUGGGACUUUUUGGGAUUGUUAAAGUCGUCCACUAUAAUGAAGUUGGCAAUGAAACAGAUUUAAUUCAAUGAAAAACCUAUUAGCCAGGCCAAAAAAAUAUGGCGUCCACCUAUUAGAGGGGUGCCUGUUGAGCUUGGCCCUCCAGCAGAUCUCUUAAUUUAAACAUCUUGGGGCCCGUGACUUGACAUCAAAAUCAAUUUUUCUCCGCCACAAUCGUUCCCAAACAGGCGCUAAAGUUUUAAAUUUGUUACGCUAGGUCUCAGAUUCUUGCACUUAGUUCUAUUGGGAGCUUGUUGGGAAAGCUAUCAACCCAAAUUUCAGGGAUGGUUGUGAAAAAAAUCUAUAGGAAAACCAUGUUCUUCCCUUGCAAUUGUAUCUCUUUGUACUCGUGUAUUUCAGGUAUCCUGCUUUGGCUAAUUCAUGGUGUUAUUAUUCCGUGUUUAGUAUUUGUUUGGGAGAGACUUUUUCAAGUGAAAAAUGAUUCUUUUGGAGAAUAUGUUAUUAAAAAGUAGGAAAAUUUUUUGGGUCCCGUAUAGUGUGAUGUUGAAAAUGAUUUUGCGGAAAAAGAUUUUAGAAAACUCUUUACCAAACAAACCCUUGAUGUUUUAAUCGCGCAGUUGUUUAUAAUUUUCGUUUCAUAUGCUUAAGUUUGCUACUUGUGCUGGGUUAUUUCCUCUUAUGGGGAGAAAAAUCCAUGUUUGGGAACUUAUAUUAUUUCCCAAAGCUCACGAGGUUUAACCCUAAUGAUAAAUAUAAAUAUAAGAAGACUAGAGAAAAUAGGAGUCCAACCCAUAUUUGAAAAGAGAAGAAAAAUAGAUUUUUCCCCGCUCCGAUAUUUCAUCAAAGCUCCAAUGUCGAGUCGUCCGUAGUCUGAUCGAGCUAAAAAUUGGAAGAGAGGUUAACAAGACAUAGAGCUACAAAUUUGAACGGUGAAGAUCGAAUUUUGAGUUUGGGAACAUUGGUUAAUGUGCAUGAACAAUAUCCAUUUUUGGGUAUAUUUUCCUAUUUUCAUAUUAUUUUGCCAAGAUUAUUGUUAUCUUGAAGAAAUAUAUGCUAUAUCCUUUAGUUGUAACUAGAGAAGAUUUGGUGUACCCAUUAUUUGAUUGAUAGUGGAGGUGCUGAUUGGAUUGGGUCUCGUGGUUUUUAUUCCUCACAUUGGGCAAGUUUUUCCACGUAAAACAAUUGCUUGUGUUCAUGUGGUUUGGUGUGAUUGAUUUUCUUUAGAAUAUUUUUAGAAUAUACAAUUCUCAAAAAGGAUUUUUACUUAUUUGCUUCUGGGAAAAGAAUUAUUUUGCUGUUUGUCUAUUUUUUUACAUCUCUAACUCUUAAAUAGUUCAGGAAUGCCUCUAAAAUCUUUUAAAGUGCAUACAAAACCAUCAUUGAACUUUAAGGUAAUAUCACCAAUCUCAACGACAAUAUAAUCAGAAUUAUCACAUAGCACAAUAUGUCCAUUAUUUGAUUCAUGCAAGUUUUCAACCAAUCUUUUGUGAUAUUACAUAAAAAGAUGCACCAGAAUCAAGUAUCCACUCAUGUAAACGAGAAUUAACAGUUAGAUUCAAUCCAAAAAUAUAAGCAACAUGGCUUGUUCUUAUACACUUUACCAUCAUCAAUAUUGGAAGUUGAAUACAACACAUUUACUUCAUCUCUCUGUACCUUUCAACUUACACUUCUCUUUAUAGUAGUUUUUUUUAUAAAAUGCUCUGUAUUCCCACAACCAUAGAAUUUUCUAAUGUUAGUCCUAGAUUUUGAUCUAUACCUACCAUUACCUUUCUUUUUACUUCCAUUACUACGUGACUUGCUACCACCAGGAACCCUUCAUGACUUGUUUGCCUAAACUGAGGUCUACCCAUCACCAUGUGAAUCUCAUCGCAUUCUUUAUCAUGUUUUUCAGCUUUAAUUUUCAUCUCUUUACUUUUAAGAGAGUAGAUGACAAAUUUAGACAUCAAAGUGUCUCUACCAUACUUGAUUGCAUUUUUAACUUCUUUAUAAGUGUCAGGUAUGGAAUUAAGCAGAAUUAUAGCUUUAUAGAUUUCAACACCAUCUCUUCACGGUUAACAAUAACUUGGAUAAGUUUAUUAAACACAUCAAAAUAGUCAUCAAGAUCCUUUGAAGGAUCAAUUUUAAAACUUAAGAAACGCUCAAGUGAAGUUUGUUUGAAGUAGAUUUGAGCAAAUACAAGUCCUCUAAUUUUUUUCCAAAGUUUUUUAUUAGUUUUCAAUUUACCCACUUUUCUCUAGACAACAUCAUACAAGUAUAAAAUGAUUGAAAUAUAAGCAAACUUAUUGACUUCUUCUUUUUAUUCUUUUGAAAAAUCAGCAGAAAAAAU
rnacentral:lncRNA from 1 species